UGGAAAAUAUUGUUCAAGAUUUAUAUCAACGCAAGGGUUUCCCGGCACCUACUUUCCAAAACGAAGGCAGUGUAGUGACGUGGCUGCAACAUUUUCUGAGGGAAGAAGGGCAGAAUCCUUUACUGAUUGUCCUGGAUGAUGUUUGGUCUGGAUCAGAAUCCCUUCUGGAGAAGUUUGAUCAAUUCAAAACGGAAAAUUUCAAGUUUUUGGUGACAUCUAGGUCUGAAUUUCGGGGAUAUGGUUCCCCUUAUUAUUUGCAAUCAUUGGAUCAUGACAAUGCGAUGAAACUUUUUCAUCAUUCAGCAUCCCUUGGAGAUAAGAGCUCUCAUAUUCCAAAAGAUCUUCCGGAAAAGGUACUUUUUAGUUGCAAUGCACAACAUGUAUAGUAAAAAAUUGGUUGACUUGGUUUAGGAAAAUUAUGAACAAAUUAUGUUCACUUUACGCAAACCAUCCACAAUCGAGUGAAUGAACACAUCCAUUUACCAUAAUUACUUGUGGACUAAAACUAAAAUUAGAAUACUGUAUAUAGUUAUUUAACCAUUUUCUCAUCUUAGUAACUUGAAUUUUGGCUCUGCAACUUAAAAGGUAGUUGACUUUGUUUUGGAAAAUUAUCCUGCAGAUAGUUGAGCGUUGCAAGGGAUUUCCACUUGCUAUUACAGUGGUGGGGAGAUCACUUUGCGGGGAGCCUAUUGAGAUAUGGCGCGAAAGAGAACUCGAAUGGUCGAAAGGAUUUUCUAUUCUUGAUUCAGAGACUGAAUUGCUGCUCUGCCUUGAAAGAAGCUUGGAUGCCGUUGAUAAAGAAAUCAUCAAGGAAUGUUUCUUAGACUUGGGUUCAUUUCCUGAAGACCAAAGAAUCCCUGCUGCUGCCCUCAUUGAUAUCUGGGCAGAGUUAUAUGAUGUGGAUACAGAUAUAGAGUGCAUUGCAAAUCUCUACGAGCUAACCAAACGAAGUCUAGCUAAUCUUGUUGUUACAAGGUAUAGAGUGCAUACUUUCUUUUUUCUUGUACGAUAUUUUUGCUCGAUUUUCCCUUUUAUAUUCAGGACUACUUGAUGUUGAUAACUUGUUAUUGCAAUAUGUUGGUUGAAGAAAUCUCUUCUAAGAAAAUUAGUUUUGAUCAUCACCAGGAAGGACAAGACUGAGGGGGACUGGUACUAUAGUGAGCACUUUGUUACCCAGCAUGAUGUUCUUAGGGAGCUGGCUAUCUACAACACAAAAACAGGACCGGUAGAACAUAGAGAAAGACUGAUUAUUGACAUAUGUGGAGACAAACUUCCAAAAUGGUGGAGAGAACAGAAGCAUCAGCCGAUGAAGGCCCGCUUAUUAUCCAUAACAACUGGUUGUUCCAUCGCUCCCUUUCUCUUUAGCAAUUAUGUAGACGCACACAAAUAAAUAGUCAUUCUUACACAUGCACGUCCAGCCGACCCCACUUAGUGGGAAAAGGCUUUGUUGUUGUUGUUGUUACACAUGCACGCCCGUGUGCAUUUAGUCUUAAUAGUACUUUCAUUUUAGUUUCUCAUCCCGACACUCACAGUUGUUACUCUGCAGAUGAAGGGUUUUCUUCAAAAUGGCACGACAUGCAAAUGCCACAAGUUGAGGUUUUAGUGUUGAAUUUCCAGACAAAGAACUAUGCCUUACCCAACUCCGUGGUGAACAUGGAUGAAUUGAAGGCUGUGAUAGUCACAAAUUAUGGUUUCUUACCUGCUGAAUUAAGUAACUUUCAACUUUUGAGUUCAUUACCAAAUCUUAAGAGAAUCAGAUUAGAACGCAUCUCAAUUCCUUCCAUAACCAAGAAUCCCAUACAUUUGGCGGGUCUGAAGAAGAUAUCCUUGUUCAUGUGUAACAUUGGUGAAGCAUUCAACAACUGUGCCAUCUCAAUCUCAUCAGCAUUCCCAAAUCUAGAGGAAAUGAACAUCGACUAUUGCAGUGAUUUAAUUGAAUUGCCCUCCGAGGUUUGUGAUCUUAUUAAAUUAAGGAAGCUCAGUGUCACUAACUGUCAUAAGCUAUCUGCCUUGCCUGAAGGGAUUGGAAAUUUGGAAAAUUUAGAAAUGUUGAGGCUAAGAUCCUGCACAGAACUGUCGAAGCUUCCAACCUCGAUGAAGUACCUUGGAAAGGUAAACUUUCUUGACAUAUCUGAUUGCUUCAGCAUCAAGGUGUUGCCCGAAGACAUUGGUGAAAUGAGUAGUUUAAGAAAGAUCAACAUGAGACAAUGCUCAAGGUUGCAAGAGCUGCCUCCAUCAGUCAUGGGUCUUGAGCAGUUAAAGGAAGUGGUCUGUGAUGAAGAAACAAAAUAUUUAUGGGAACCCAUCUCAUCGUAUCUCAAGAACGUAACGAUAAUUGUGGCCAAAGAGAAUAUGAACCUAAAUUGGCUCCACAAGACUCGGUUCUGAUGUGUUUCCCCAGUGAACCUUGCUCUUCAACCUCUGUGUUGGUUUGUGUUUUUAAUGAAACUUUUAAACUCUACUGUAACAUGUACGAAUAAGAUCAUGACCAUAAGUCCUAAGGCCUGCUAUUUGUUUCAGAUUCGUAUAGUAAAGUGCUAAUGUAAAAAGAUAUACUUAAUCCUUAUUUGUGGAGGAUUGAAUAAAAGUAUGAAAACUGGUUUUACAUUUUGUAUACAAUAAGGUAACUUAUUCAGUAUUGAAUAAGGAUUCUAAUAGGAGAAUUACAUGGAUUGAUUGUGUAUAAAUAGUAGCCUAUGUUCUCACAAAACAUACGCUCAGUAUUUUGGGAGGUAUACUAAGGCAGGUCAAUAGAAAGGACCUUUUGCUCUUUAUCUGGAGAAACAUGGCAUCGUGGCACAAUAUACGACACCUAGAACGCCACAACAGAAUGGAGUCUCAUAAAGAAGGAACAGAACUUUGAUUAGGAUAGUAAGGAGCAUGGUGUCUAGAGCUAAACUUCCAGCAUUCUUAUAGAGAGAAGCACUCAAAACAGCAACUUAAAUCCUCAACAGGGUGCCAACCAAAGCUAUUUCACAAAUCCCUUUUGAAAUUUGGACUGGAAGAAAACCAAAUUUUGAUUAUUUUCAUGUUUGGGGUUGCAAGGUUCUAUAAUCCACAUGAGCAGAAAUUAGAUGCAAGAACUCAAUCUUGCUAUUUUGUUGGCUACUGCGAAAAGUCCAAAGGGUUCAAGUUUUAUGAUCCACAAGCUCAUUCGAGAAUUCAAGAGUCACACAAUGCUGUUUUUCUAGAAGAUCAAGAUGUGGCAUAUUUGAAUCAAGAUGAAUUUAAUUUUGAGGAACUAAUCUCGGAUGAAUAUGUCUCUCCUGCAGAAAAUUACAAGAUUCUUUCCAUAUUCCUGCAAAAGAUUAGUCCAAAUGAAGAAGAAGAUCAUCAAAUGGCAGAUUGUGGACUUGAAACAAAAACUACAUUUGAUCAGACUCGGUUGGAAGAUCAUGUUGUGCAAAAACAACAACAAAUUGAAAGUUCAGAAGCACCUCGAGCUGAACCUGAAUUAAGAAAAUCAACAAGAACAAAUAAGUUAGCCAUAUCAAAUUAUUAUGUCUAUUUGCAAGAAUCUGAGUAUGACAUAGGUGAUAUUGAUGAUCCCAUCACCUACAAUCAAACUAUAGAGAGCUCACAAUCAAUCUUAUAGGUCAAUGCAAUGAAGGAGGAAUUAGAAUCGAUGAGCAAAACAAAGUCUGGACAUUGGUUGAAUCUAAUUCCAAAAUCAAGCAUAUAGGUUAUAAGUGGGUUUAUAAAACCAAAUGAGACUCUCAAGGCAAAAUUGAAAGAUACAAAGUUAGAUUAGUUGCAAAAGGGUUCACUCAAAGAGAAGGUAUUGACUACAACGAUACUUUUUCACAUGUAUCAUCAAAAGAUUCCAUGAGGGUCACAAUGGCUUUGACUGCACAUUUUGAUUUGAAGCUGCAUCAGAUGGAUGUCAAGACCACCUUCCUUAAUGGAGAGCUACACGAAGAUAUUUAUAUGAGGCAACCAAUUGGAUUUGUUGAAAGGGGGAAGGAAGAUAUGAUUUGUAAAUUAAAUAAGUCAAUUUAUGGUCUCAAACAAGCUUCAAGGCCAUGGUAUCUCAAAUUUGAUCAAGUGGUUAAACUCAUGGUUUCACUAAAAACAAGUUAGACGACUGCAUCUAUCUCAAGUUCAGUGGAUCAAACUUAAUUGUUUUGGUGCUAUAUGUCAAUGACAUAUUACUGGCCAGUUCUAGUUCUAAAUUACUGCAGAACACUAAGUCCAUGCUUAGUGUUAAUUUUGAUAUGAAGGACCUUGGUGAAGCUCACUAUGUUCUUAGAAUAGAGAUUGUGAUAGACAGAAGGUGGAGACUUUUGGGUUUAUCUCAGAAAGGCUAUAUUGAUAGAGUGCUAACUCAGUUCAACAUGGAGCAUUGCAAUGGAGGCCACGUUCCUGUCAACAAAGGUGAUAAAUUCAUUAGAGCACAAUGUCCCAAGAGUGAAACUGAAGUGAAAAAGAUGAGAGACAAACCUUAUACCUCAUUGGUGGGUAGUUUGAUGUAUGCAAAUGUUUGUACGAGACCUGAUAUUGCCUUCAUUGUUGGCAUCUUGGGUAGGUUUCAAUCAAAUCCUGAUGAAGCUCAUUGGACUACGGCAAAUAAGGUAUUGAUAUAUCUGCAACGAACCAAGUCUUUCAUGCUCAUGUAUGGCAGAGAUCCACAGCUAGAAGUCACUGGAUAUAUUGAUUCAGAUUUGGCUGGAGACUUAGAUAAAAGAAAAUCCACUGGAGGCUAUGUCUUUAUGCUUGGAGAUUGAGCUAUUUCAUGGAAGAGUUCUAAGCAAUCUAUUAUAACAACAUCUACCAUGGAAGCAGAUUUUGUAGCCUGUUUCGAAGGCAGCAAGCAAGCUAUUUGGCUCAAAAAUUUCAUAAGUGAGUUGAAGAUAAUGGAUUCAAUUCAAAAACCGAUGAAGAUGUUUUGUGACAAUACUUCGACUGUGUUUUUCUCUAAAAACAAUAAGAGGACUUCUGCUAGUAGACUGAUGGAUGUAAAAUUUUGAAAGUUCAAGAAAUGGUGAAGGAAGAAGCUAUAGAAGUACAACAUCUGAAUACAAAUCUCAUGGUUGCAUAUCCUUUGACUAAAGCUUUACCAAUUGGAGUUUUCAAAGCUUAUGUUACUCGAAUGGGAGUGCUGGAAUCUUUUGAUCAGUUGGAGUAGUUGCUGGUACAGAAGUAUUGAAGGUGAUGACAUCUUUGUAGGUUUAUAAGUUGAGUUAUUAGUUAGUUUUGCUUCAAUUAUUUUGUUUCAACUAGUUUUAUGUUUUAGCUAGUUUUGAAUAAUUGAAUGUUUUCAUUUGGGUUCAAUUUUUCCAGAUUAUCUGUGAUGAAUUGUUCUAGAAGACAAAUUUUGUUUUAUGGUUCUUAUAAUGCUUUAAAGUCAGUCUUUGAUUUGAUAAAGCAGUUGGUGGAAUUAUAAAGUGUUGUUCAUAGUAUUACUUAUGAUCUUUCGAGAUUUUGGUUUGAGUAAUUACUUGGAUUAUGUAUCAUGUUAUUCAAGUGGUUUGAAUAUUGAGAUGAUUACGAUUUAGUAUCAUGUGUUGAUGUUAAAUGUUUUGGCUUCAAAAGUGGGAGCAAACUUGUUUUGAGUUUGUCUUUAAUCAGUUGGUUCACAAUGUUACAAGGGUGCAGAUUUAGUAUUUGUGAUUUUGAAAUUAGCCCUAUAUUGUAUCAAGAGUGUGAAUUUCUGGAUUCAAUACUUUGAAAUGCAUUGAUAGAUUGUUUGUGAUGUAGUAAUUUUUCAUUGAGAUUUAGUGAUCACUUCUAUAAUGAUAUGAAUUAUUGUGCGAUGGUUUUGGGUCAUGAUCAAGUGGGAGAAUGUAAGAAUAUGAUCAUGACCAUACGUCCUAAGGCUUGCUAUUUGUUUCAGAUUCGUAUAGAAAAGUCUCAAUGUAAAGAGAUAUACUUAAUCCUUAUUUGUGAAGGAUUGAAUGAAAGUAUGAAAACUGGUUUUAACACUUUGUAUACAAUAAGGUAACUUAUUCAUUAUUGAAUAAGGAUUAUAAUAGGAGAAUUAUAUGGAUUGAUUGUGUAUAAAUAGUAGCAUCUGCUCUAACAAAACAUACUCUCAAUAUUGAACUAAGAGUCUAAGACCUAUUGUUAGUUUGAGUAUUAUUGGUUUUGACAGAGAGGAGAAGAUCUGCUACUUGUUUGCCCAUGGCUCCAUCUUCUACUGUUGCUGCAGGUUAGUUUAUAUUCCAUCUUCUCUAGGAGGUUUAUUCAUUCUUACAUAACAUGGUUUCAGAUUCAAUCUCUUUGUACAGUUUCUUGACUUUUUUGUUUAGAAAUCUGUUUCUGUAAUUCAACACCGCAAUCUCAUUCAUGCUCUCCCAAAAUAAAUUCAAUACCACAAGGUUGAAGAGUCUUCGUAAGAUAAGAACUUUCAUGUCACGGGAUCAGGUGUUAAUCUGAUUGUGGGUAAGUUUAUGCGGUAUCUAUACUAACGUCAACAGGUCAAGUUUACAGAACUGUUCACAUAUGGUCUAGAUGAAUUGCCAAAUCUAGAGGAAUUGAUUGGUUAUCGACUUCUAAUCAACAUAGAAGUCAGUGACAAAGUAGAUAAUGAAUAACAAUAUACUUCAGAAGAAAAUACUCAAAUUCAAUACUAUAGAGAAUUAAUAACAUCCAUUAUACAUUAAAAAAAUACACAAAUUUAAUACUUUGUAACAUAAGAAGAAGGCACAACUGAAAUGUCACAACUAAUAAUCCAUUGAGUAAAUUGUAACAAUGGUCUCUCAACUUUAAUCAAAUUAGAGCAAUGGUCCCUUAACUAAAAAUUCAUUAUCAUUGGUCCCUCAACUUAUCAAAAUGUGUAACUAUAGUCAUUUUCAUCAAUUUCGUCAAAAUUUUGUCAAAAUAAGUUAUGUUGGAAUAACCAUUUAUAUAAUUAGGGUCCCUCAACUCAUCAAAGUGUAAUUAUGGUCCUUUUCGUCAACUACAUCAAAAAUUUUGUCAAAACGAGUUAUGUUAGAAUGAUCAUUGCUACAAUUGGGUUAGAGUUAAGGGACAAUUUCUGAAUUAAAGUUGAGGGACCAAUGAUAAUGAAUUUUUAGUUGAGAGACUAUAGCUACACGUUGUGAUGAGUUGCGGGACGAAUGGUAAUGGAUUUUUAGUUAAGGGACCAUUGCUCCAAUUGAGUUAAAGCUAGGGACUAUAGCUACAAUUUACUCUAAUCCAUUAGAGUAUGUCAAUACUAUAAAAAAAAUUAAAAAAAAAAUUUUUUAAAUGACUUGGCUUUGUAAUGGGAGGGACACUAAGAAAUUUCACAGCUAAGAAUCAAUUAGAGCAUGACAAUUAGGUAAAUGAGGAGGUUCUCUUUGUAUAAACUAUAACAAAUAAUUGUACAUUAGAAAGAUAGUUGAUAUUUUCAAUAAAAAGAGGCAUAUUUGUCGAUUUGCCAUCUGAACUUGUAUGGAGCUGCCAAUUUCCCCAUAAACUUUAAUUUUAGCCAAUUACGCUCUUAAACUUUUAUAAUUAGCCAAUUUUCCCCUUGAAUUUUAAUUUUAGCCGAUUACCCCUAAACCUUAAUCAAUAGACAAUAUUCCCCCUAGCGUUAGAUUUUAAAAAAUUUCAUCUAAUUUUCCAUCCAUCUUGAUAAUGGAAACAACACAUAACAACUGUAUAAGGGUAAGAAGGAUGAAAAAUUGAAUAUAAGUUUUUAAGAUCUAGCGCCAGGGCGGGAAUUGGCUAUUUAUAAAAGUUCAGGGAGAGUAAUCGGCUAAAAUUUAAGUUCAAGGGGGAAAUUGGCUAAUUAAAAAAUUUUAAGGGCGUAAUUGGCUAAAAUUAAAGUUCAGGAAGAAAUUUGGUAGCUACAUACAAGUUCAGGGGCAAAUCAACAAAUACCUCUAAAGAGAGAGCUGAUUUUUAUUAAUCAACAUUGAAGUUUUUGUGUAUAAACUAUGAAGCCAUAAGGGAAUUAUGCUAUAGUCUCCUCACAUAAAAUUCUCAACUCUAUCAUUUUCCGUGAACCUAUAAUUCACACAAAUGAGGAUCAGUUUAUUAGGGGAUAUAUGAUACACCUAAAUGAGAUCAAUUCAUAUGUGCAUUAAACGUGACAGAGUCAUUGUACAAUUUAAAUUUAAGAAAAGAAAACUAUACUUUCAAGACAUAAAAAGUUUAUUAAUCAACAUUAAAAAAUGUAUGCAUAUUCUAUGAAAAAAUAAGGAAAUUAUACUAUGGUCUCCUCAUAAGAAACUCUCAACUCCGUCAUUUUCGUGAAUUUGUGAUACACGCUAAAAUGGAAUGAAUUCUUCAAUGAACUUUUGAUCAUGUAAAUGAGACAUAUUCGUAAGUUUAUAAAAAAAAGGAAAACUAAUGAAAAGACUUGAAAAUUUUGAGUUUUAAUGAUAAGGACAAAAUAAAGGGUAAAGUGAAUAGUACCAGGUUUGACUUUUUAGUGUAAAAAUGUGAUUUUUCGUUAAAGUGAACAGUACCGUGGGUUUUUCGUUAAAACUCCCUAUAAAAAAUGAUGAAGCUUAUGUGAGUGGACCAGAAUACAAUUUCCUGGUGUUUUCAUAGCAUAUGCACAAAAAAUUAAUGUCGAAAAAUAAGUUUUUUUUAAUGUAUAUAAGUAUAAUAUUUUCUCAUCUUCUAGUACAAGUUUUGUGCCUAUUCCACAAAAACAAAAACAAAAAAAAUAAAUAAAUAAACUUACAUUAAGCCUUCGAAUUCUAUUUUCCAACAUUAAGCCUAUGAAUUCACUCAGAAUAUAAAAAAAAAUUGCCUAAUAAAUAUAGACUAAUCAUAUUAGCUAAAACAAAUAUACUUUCCCAUAACCCUCAUUUUUGUGCAUAUUCUACCAAAAUGAUAGAAAAUUAUACUAUGAUCUUUUCACAAGAAAUUUCCGACUUUGUCAUUUAUUGUUAACCCAUUAUUCACGCAAACGGGUUUAAUUUAUCAAAGGAAGUAUGAUACACAUUAGUGAGAUUUGAAAGCCCAUGUGAGUAGAGAAAUAUAUAAUUUCCUUAUGUUUUCAUAGCAUGUUCACAAAAAAAAUUAAUGUUGUUGAAUAAAUUUUAUAUUGUUGCAGUCCUAUUGAAUAGGAAUGUGAUUGUAUAAAUCCUAGUAAAUAUGGGAAUGUAUUUUAUAUUCCUAAUAGGAGUAUAUUACCUAUUAAAUGUUGUAAAGGGAAAGGUUUUUACCUAUCCUACUACUAUAAAUAAAGGCAUAAUGGGGUGGAAUAGAACACACCCACAAUUACACACAUCUCUCUUCUUCUCUCCAUGUGCCGCAACCCUUCUCUCUCUAUGGCCUCCAUAAUUGUUCAGUAAAUUAUGUCUACAACACGUUAUCAGCAUGCUCUUGACGUUGCGCUAAUGAGAGUUUAUUCUUCAAUCAGGGGAGUAUUACGUUUUAAUCAUUCUUUUUUAUGAUUAAUUUAUUAUUUUGAAUUAAUCUACAUACUAUUGAUUCAAUUUAAUUUUUCUGUGUUGAACGUGAUACAAUGCAUUGGAGAUGCAAUUCCGGCUUUCCGAGAAGAAACUUCUACAAAUUCAAAGGCUUUUAUUUGUUUUCUGCCAAUCAGGUACGCUUAAAAUAAAGUAAGAUAUUUGAAUCAACCUUGAAGCAUGAAAACAUUCCCCAUGAUGCAUGAACGCCCCUAUGUUUAUAUUUUCCUUCCAAUAUAUAUAUAUAUAUAUAUAUAUAUAUAUAUAUAUAUUGUAUAUAUUUAUAUAUCUGUAAAUAUAUAUAUUUGUUUCAUGCAUUACGCAUAUAUGCUAUGUGGAAUUUGUGAGUUAAAGAAUCAAAAUAAAUUAGAAGCAUAUUAGGGUUUGUAGAACCCUAACAAUUUCGAAAAAAAAGGGGAACUUGGAUGCAAAAACCAGGCCUCGGCCUGGACGUCACCUCGGCAAGGCAUGAAGCCCCACGCCCCAAUUUGCUGUCUUGGUCCGAAUACCAGCAAGCUUAUGCUUGCUGGGCUCUGUGAAGCCCUAAACCCGUAUGCACCCUAAACAUAUGGCUUGCAUGCCGCAACCUUUUGGUUGCUGGGAUUGUGCAGCAGCAAAGGGCAUGUAGCCCUGGCAUUCUGUCUACGCCAGCAAGCCAUACAGCUUGCUGGGCCUUGCAGCAACCUAGCCCGUGUCUUCCACUGCCAGCCCAAAUUGGUUGGGCUUAAGUCCUUGCGGCCCGUAUCCCUGCAUGACGCCAGCCUUGUGGUUGGGCCUCCUAGGCGCAACAACCAACAGGUCAGCUUUGCUAGACCUGCACCGUGCCCCCUUGGUCCAAGUAUGAAACCCAGCUGUGGUUGGGGUUUCUCCCAUCCACCCCGUGGCCUGCAGCCACCAUCCAAUGACCUUUGGGCCGUGUCUUAUGCUUAAGACACCCACCCAUGCCCACAUAUUUUUGGGGCAUAUUUUUUAAUAAAAUGCUAUUAUUUAUCAUUUUAAAUAAUUUUAACCCGAAUGUUAUUAUUAUUUUUGCUUCUACAAUUGACCCUGUUUGGUCCCGAUUUAUUGAAUUAAUUAAAGUGACCUGCAAUCCAUUAAUUUGAUAAUGAAUCCAAAAUUAUUGACCUGAAGAUCACUUUUGGAGGUUAACGAUUCAAUAAUUUAUUUGUAUACUUUGAACCGUUGACUUACUUUCUUAGUCCCGAAGCACUUACACUUGAGUUCCCGAAGAACCUCAGAUCCACUACACUUAGUUGUAUAUUGCAUUAUGUGUUCUUCCAGGAACCUCUCUUUUAUGAACUAAACGUUCAUAAACUAAAUUGAACCUGUAGUUUCAAAUUUAGUGCCUUUGAAACUCGAAGAUUUCAUAAAACAAUACACCCAUGAAAACCCGACGUUUUCAUGAAAACCAUGGCUUAGAACUCGAAUGUUCUAACUUUGAUGCUUAUGGAUGAUUCAUUCCCAUAGCACCAAUCACAAUCUUGUUAUGUCCAAUUCAGUGGAUUAUCGAACCGUAACAAAUUCGAUUUUCCUGAUUUGGACGUUUCUAAAAGAAAACACUUUAUGUGGGGUACAAGACGUGAAUCUCCACUUGACUAUCAAGAAGCUAAGAAACCAUUGAAGCCAACAAUGGCAUGGAAGAGCUGAAUAAGCCUCUUCCAUGAUCUUCAUUCGAAGACUUAUGCCCAAAGCAUUACAAAUGGAAGUACCUCUUGCAUGAGGAUUCCAUGGCUCUUUGGCUCGCUCCUACAGACUGUUUAAUCAUGAAAGACAUUGCCUGAAGCACAUCAUGAUUAAGUCCAUGAAUGAAUACAAUUCUGAAGUUUAUAAAUCCGAUCGAAUUUUGACUGGAGAAUACUUUUCUCGUCCUUCCAUGUUUCUCACUCGCUCCUGAGGCAGCAGUGUAGAAAGCGGAAGUUUACCAAAUUCUCGGAUCUGAUUACUACCACAAAUGUGAGAGAACGGUAUAGAACCAGUUAGGUCAAAGCCUAACUAAAUGGUGAUGCACUGCUUCGGCAAGGGAUACACCAAAUGGCAUACUCUUUCACAUCCAAAUUCGAGUUUGUUUUUACAACAUAUGGUAGAAUCAAGGCCUGCCAAGGUGUGGCAUCAUGCCCGAAGCAUGAUCCUUGGUACCUUAGACCUAAAACUUCAAGAACAAGGGAUAUUAUUCCUAAACUUUAACCCUGCAUAAUCUACUUCCGUCUUACUGGAAUAGAUCAUUGGUUAUGCACAUGUUCGUGCCCCUGUUGUUGAGGAGUACCAUUCUAGUAGUUAAUAUGUGAGACUAAUUUUGCUCCACCAAACACCGUUGGAAUAGCAAAAUUUUGACAUGGAUGACCUUGUUGGCCAAAUCCCCUUAAUAAACCAUUUACUUUGUGAACAAUUUUCCAUGUUCUUUGAUUCACGUUUGGUGUAUGUUUUACUUAUGGAUAAUCUUAUUGAUAUUGUCCUCGAAUAUGAGUUAAUUGAAUCAUGUUUCUUAAUACAUGUGACCGAUUCAACUAAACACGUGAUUAGGUAGGAAUGUCAGAAAAUUAGUUGUCUGGAUGAAUCCGUACUACGCACACUAACUUUACACCUAAAUCACAUCUCUAACAACGACUUCAAGUCUAUCCAACCUGAUUAAGAGCAUUGGCACGCUCCUCAUUGUAUGAAUGGUACUAAAUCACCAUUUAAGGGACUUUAAAUUCUCCCUAACGUUGAGUUUUUAAGGAUAUUCGAGAUGACAAUGAUCAUAAAUGAAACCAAUGAAGAAAAUAGAGUGAAAUAUCUUUGCACCACCUCUAAAAAUGAGCCUACAGCUUUGAUUUAGGGCCAAUGGGUUGUCUCCCAACUGGGAACACGACACAUAUGGCCAGCCCGGAGCCAGGUGAUUGAGCAGUUUACUUGCUUUGGCACGAUCUUUUGGGACACUUAGGUCGAACAAUGAUGCUACAACGCAUCUCCUUACUUAAAGUAAGGAUCUUGUGCCUACAAGCACACUUUGCGAAGCCUGCUCAUUAAGAAAAUUGAUUUUCUAUAUCAUUCCUUGCAAAGAUACGACACGACUCUCUUUUCGUAGUGGAUUCAAGGGAAUAUUUGUGGACUAAUCCAACCAAAAUGCGGACCAUAUAAAUACUUAUGGUUUUGGUUGAUGAAUCGACAAACUGGUCACAUGUUUGUCCACAAACAUUACUGCUAAACCUCAUGGCCGAUUAAGAGUUCACCACCCUACUUAUCACUUAAGGUCCGGGAGACUGGAUAAUGUCGGAGAGUUUAUAUCGAUGGUUUUCGAUAAAGUAUUGCAUGUAUUUUGGGUUUAUAAUUGAACAUCAAAUUCCCAUGUUCACCCUAAAAUAGCCUCACCUAGCGAUCAUAAAGCACAAUUUAAAUGAUCACCCGAAUUUUGGUAAACGUGCCAAGUUUUCGGUUUCUACCUAGGGCUAUGCAAUCCUUGUACGCAGUUAUGUUGGCCGCCUUGAGGCCCAUUGCCACCCAACCUAUAUGACGUUAUAGUUGGUUACUGGGUACGAACCUGACAAUUUCGUAUUUAGGCAUUUGGGUGUGCAUUCUAUGUGCCAAGUUACGCCGCCGCAACGUACCACCAUGGGUCCUCAAAGAAGGAUGUGUAUCUUUUGUCGAUCAUGAUUCUCUUUCACACUAGCUCUCUUCGAGCCCUUGCAUGUGAUCUUUUUACCGUUCAUUUGCGGGUUGUCACUUUAAUGAGACAGUCUUCCCACCGUUAGGGGGAGAUAAGAACGUCAACGUUCAUGGAGAACGGCACGAAUUUGCGUGGACGUUGCCCACUAUGUCUCAUCUCAGUCCCCAUACCGCACAAGUAUGAUAAGCAAAUGCGAUGACUUCUAGAUUUCAGAAUCUUGCUCCAUAUGCAUUCAUCUGAUCUAGCUAAAUUGACGAGAUCAUAUACCAGCAACAAACAUGCCUACAAGGAUAGACGUACUUAACGGACGUCGAGUCAACAUCCCUGGAGGGUGUGCCACCCCUGUUGGACAGUUUGGACGCCUCUGUUGGACAGUCCUGUACACCGACGGAUAGCCAAUCAAUCUGUCUUGGCCUGGAGCACGACAGAUCAUUCGGUUCGUAGGAUUCACUUCCCUAAAAGAGGAAGAUAUGGCACAAUAAUGAAUCUAAACUCGAUCGCUAUCUCAAAUCAUUUCCAUCUUAUGAGAUUAAUCUGGAUUUCUCCCAAGACUUAAAGUUCUUGGUCUAGUAUACUAGUUUGGAUGAGCUAAAUGGAAUUGAAAUGAGAUUAUCAUCGAUGAUUUUUUCACUUAUAUGGUAGCUACCGACAUAAAUGAAAAGCGACGAUAUCAAACCGUGUUUCGUUGAUUAAAUGACAACGUAGAACUGAUUGGACAACUGAAAUUACAAUCUAGGUCAAAUUCCUUACCAAAGUGUGUAUUGAACCUGUCGUUCCUACACUGCCCAAGGUAACCCUAUUAUAUUACAAGUGGGAAAGGAAGCGUUAUGAGAUGAAUGAAAUAGUGCAAUAUGAUGCACGUCCUGUGAUUGAUAGCAGCAUUAUGAAAUAUGGUUAGUGUUUUCUCCAUGGGGAUAUAGAUAUGGAGAUUUACAUGUAAGUUCCUGAAGAAUUACAUGGACUGUUUCAAAUAGUUCCAAAACCGCGGAACACAUUCUUAACUCGUUUUAAGGCGUUCACUUAUGGAUUGAAAAAUCUGACGGAUGUGGUAUACCCGUCUAAGUGAUUAUUUGAUCAAUCAGGGAUAUGAAUUAUGCCCUUACAUGUUAAACUAUGAAGUCUUAUUCCAAAUUGCUAGAGUUACAUUUUAUGUCGUUGACACGAAUUUCACUAAGACUUCGGAAGAGCUUGAGAAAACUGCCUCGUACCUGAAUAUGGAAUUUGAGAUGAAGGAUCUUGGGAAAACUCGUUUUAUGCCUUGACUUGAAGUUGAAGCAUUGUUAUGACGGUAUUUUGAUCUACCAGUCGAACUACACCCUGAAUGUGUUACCUUUGAGUAUACCUAUGAUCGUCCAUAUGUUAUAAGCAAAUGAGACCCUUAAAGAGGUUAUGGAAUCCGAAAUUCCAUAUCUAAGUUCAACUUUGCGCUUCGUUGUACUUAGCUCAUUUUAUUUAGACAUAACAUCUCCAUCAUUGUUGAUCUUGGUAAAAAUGCAGCACUGUGCCUACACGCAACCACUGAAUUGGUAUUAAAGACGUACCCUGAAGGUACUACAUGGGCAAAUCCCAACGCAUCUUAGCAGAUCCAACCCCUCUGAUCCUCGAAAUGAUGUUUGCCUUGUUUGUUAUACUGAUGCAGGUUACUUAUCAAACCCGCACAAAGUAUUUUGGUGAUUGAACUAUUUGAUGUUUGGGGUAUAGACUUCAUGGGACCUUUCCCUUCUUCACAUGGCAAUCUCUACAUCUUGGUGGCGGUUGAUUAUGUCUCUAAGUGGGUGGAGGCAAUAGCUUCUCCAACAUGCAAAAGUUCUGUGGUGUUAGGUUUCUUGCAGAAUACUAUUUUUCCCCGAUUUGGAGUACCUCGUGCUAUCAUCAGUGACGAAGGUACGUAUUUCUUAAACCGCACCAUGGCUGCCCUUUGUGCCAAGUAUCAUAUUCACCAUCGCAUAGCCACCCUAUAUCAUCCACAAACAUCUGGACAAGUUGAAGUAUCUAAUCGGGAGCUCAAGAGGAUUCUUGAGAAAACUGUCAGUUCAUCUCGAAAGGAUUGGAGUUUAAAGCUUACUAAUGCUUUGUGGGCAUAUAGGACAGCUUAUAAGACACCAAUUGGGAUGUCUCCUUUUCGUUUGGUGUAUGGGAAAGCUUGCCAUCUGCCUAUGGAACUUGAGCACAAGGCAUAUUGGGCUAUUAAGCACCUCAAUUUUGACUACCAAGCAGCGGGAGAGAAGCGGAAGCUGCAGUUGAAUGAAUUGGAAGAAAUAAGGAAUGAUGUUUAUGAGAAUGCAAAGAUUUACAAGGAUAAGACCAAGAAAUUUCAUGAUGCUCACAUCCUUCGUAAAGAGUUUCAACCGGGUCAGAAGGUUUUGCUUUUUAAUUCGAGACUAAAACUAUUCCUAGGAAAGCUCAAAUCACGUUGGAAUGGUCCAUAUCGUGUUGUACAGGUCCAUCUUCAUGGGGCUGUGGAUAUCCAAAACAUGCAAACUGGUUUUGUCUUCAAAGUUAAUGGACAUCGCUUGAAGUUAUACAAGGAGUCUCUAUAUGAUCUUGCUAAGGAUUCCAUCACUUUGAAGGAACUUGUUAUUUGAAUCAAAUUGCCAACAGAAUGUCUAGCUCUAGACAGUAACUAAAGCGCUUCUUGGGAGGAAACCCAAGCUUUCUAUCUUUCAUCUUUAGUUUGAAUAAUUUUAAAUGUUCUUGUUCUGUUUUUUUUCUUGUUUUCUGGUUUGUGUGUUUAAGUCCUACUUUUGCUCCCUUAUGCAGGUAAUGAUUUUGCAAUCUCUACCACAACUUCUUGCAAAGUUUCUUAAUCCCACGGGUUACUCACACAUUUGUUAUGCAUAAUGGGACGUGUUGAAACAAGUUUGGGGAUGAUUUGGAAUUCUACCAUGGAACAAAAAUGCAUUUUUACUGCUGCUCUCCUCACCUACACAAAUUGGUGUGUUCUUUCCUUUUCUUUAUGUGUAUUGAUUUCAUUUUGUAUUUCUUUCCUUCAAUUUUUAUGUCUUAUUGUUAAAAAUUCCUUUCAUUAUCAUUGGGGACAAUGCUAUAAUUAAGUUUGGGGGUGGAAAUAUAUUUCAUUAGUUUUCUUCUUGUUUAAAAAAAAAAAAAAAAAGAAAAAAAAAACUAAUUAAAAAAAAAAUUGUAUUUUUGUUGUUGUUUGUGGGUAGUUCUCAAUUCAAUGAUGAGAUUUGAUCUUAAUUUCCUUCUUACUUCCAAGAAGUCUAAGUUAUUUUCGUUGUCUUUGUGUUAACUGUGAUUUCCAGCAAUCAACUUGAAAAAUAAAUGUGCCUAGUCUUGUCAAUGUGAAACUUGAGCAUGAUUUAGCGUUUCAUAUGUGAAUCAUGUGAGAUUAUGUAAACCUUGUGAGUUUUUUUAGUCUAUACAUGAUUGAACCAUUAUGCAUCAAUCUCAUUCCUUCUUGUGCGUAUGAUCUCACUGUACAUGUAUCUCUAGAACUUGCUUUAUAUUUCUCGAUUCAUUAAUCAAUUCAUGUAAUAACUUGGAAGUGAUAUAGGCCAUCUUUGGAUCGUUUGAGCCUUUCAUGCCUACCUUAUAUGUUAUGUGUGUCCGUAGUAGCCCGUUGAGCCUUUAACUAAGCCAUUUCUUUGUUAGCCACAUCUCUUUACCAUGCUCCGAUAUUGGAGUUGAGCCCAUACACAGAAAUCGAUUCCUAUUUGUUUUGAGAAAGUAUUACAUGGGUUGUGCUCUUGGGGGUUUCAUUUAUGUAGAAAGAUGGAUGGAGCAUGUGUAUUACAAUGAAAUGUGAAUUUGAUGGGUGAUGUAGCUUUUGCAUAUUUAUACAUAGCUUUGCAGAUUUGUUUCUUAAAAAAAAAAAAAAAGAAGAAGAAGAAAAAAAAAAGAAAAAGAAAAUUUGAGAGUGUUGAUUUGUUGAAAAUGUGUCUGCAGAGUAUAAAUUUCCUUUUGAAGUUGAAUUUGGGGAGUAACAAGUGCUCGAAGUUUUAUUAUUUUGCUUUCAAUUUGAGGUGGUGUGAUAUUGAGGUGUUGGAAAACUACUAAAGUGUACUUUCUCAAAAUUUUUGAUUUCCAUAUCCUUUCUUUCAUAUGCCUAUCACCUUUAGCCCCAUUACAACCGUAAUAAAGUCCUAUUGAUCCAAGGUAUUACUUAAAUAUUGAUAGCGAGUUAGGUGGACAAGCAAGCAUAUGGCGGCAUGUACAAUGAGAUCACUUGAGUGAAACACAUUAACCAAAACUUAUGAGUGAAUGAGCGUAUGUCUUGUGAGAAACUCACAUGUUUGCAUAUGAUGAUUUAAAGGAGCUUGGAAUUGCAUUGACUAGACUAGCUCACACAUGACAUUUCAAGUUUUGUUUGAAGGAAAUUUGGUUAACUAUUGGAUGAUGUAUUGAGCACUUGUUACUUACUUCUUGGCAGUGUAUUUCAUGGUUGGCACUUAUCUCUGAAAUCGAAUUUGAGAAGUUGCCUACUAAGUUGUUGAGUCAAGUCUUAGUUGAGUAGUUUUGUUUUGUUUUGUGUUUUGUUUUGCUAGAGGACUAGCAAAAAUGUAAGUUUGGGGGUAUUUAAUCACUCAUAUAUUUCAUGCAUUUAUACCAUCUAUUUCUAAAGUCUUUGUGAUGUUUUUGUGUUAAAAUGGUUGCAUUUUACCUUACCUUGUGUUAAUGUCCAGUUAAAUUUGCUUUAGGAUCAAUUUCAAGCAAAAAGGAGAAAAGAAAAUAAUAAAAACAAACAAAAGAAUUGGAAGUGAGGCUUGUCUUCCACUUGUGGCCUUAAUAACUUGGAAAAGAGGAGGGAACACACGGAAGUGGAAAAAAAAAAGAGAAAGGAAAAGGAAGGGGGAUUAUUCGGUUACCUAUAAAUAAUCAUCAUUUUAGUAGCCAUUGGUCUACCAUAAUUAAAUGAACAUAAUCCCACUAAGUUUCUCACAGAAUACUGACCCAAAAUUCAAAGUUGAAGAGAUCAUGUGAUGAGAACAAAUGAUGUCGCAGACCCAACAGAAAAGAUUGAAUAGAUUUUAAGCAUCAGUGAUAAGUCCACUAGCUAUUUUGGUUCAAUGCAGAUGGCUACACUCCUACUUUUUCCAUAAGCUUAAGCUAUUAGAAUGAAUUCUAUGUGUACGAAGGCUUGGACAAAGUGAAGAGCAACAGACGGACAGGAGAGCAGAAAAGAAGGAGAGGAAAAAGGAGAGAGUUGCAGGGAGAAGAAGAUGGCAGAAACAUAAGGGAGCCGCAGCUCCACAUGGAAGGAGGAGAAGGGCAGAUAGCUUCUUUGUAGAAAAAAGGGUUGUCUCUUUCUUUGUUUUUUUUUCAUGGAUAAUUUCUUAUGUAUUAAUACAAGUAUGUGUAACUAAUUUCUUUUCGCUAGAGUGAGGCCAUGAGCCGCAACAUGAAUACGUAGAUUUAUCUUUCAAUUGCUUAAGUGUUGUUACAUGCUUGCUUUGAUAUUUUCAAUCAUUGAAUUAAACUAUCUAUGUACCUUGAUGCUUGAUCACCAUUAGGAUGCUUAGAAAAGUUAUCGGAUGCAAUUUUGAACGAAUGUCACGUUAAAAUUGGUUGUGCUUCUUGUGAUUGAGGAUUGUACUCUCCUAAGGUAAAUAUCAUGCUCUUAGGGAUUACAUGGUUUAACAAAAGGAUUUUCACCAAGAUUAAUGAAUCAUUCAUGUUUAUAUUUAAUCCAAAUGUCAUGGAUAAGUUGCAUGUAGUGGUAUGUGUUUUAACUUGAAUGUCACAAGUAAAACAUACACAAGGAAAAUCCAACCUUCAAAGCAUGUGUAUUUUCAAUUAUUUAAGCAAUUGGAAUAGCUACGUAUGAGUGUUGUUGGUAAAGGUUGAACUCUAGCAUAUUGUCAAUCUAUUUUUCUUCAAUCAUUUAUUUUAUCUUGAAUUUCCUCAUUUACUUGUUUUGUUUAGUUGAAUCACUAUUCCUAUAAGCCAAUUCCCAUUUUAGAUAUUUGUUUAAGUCACAUCCAGUAGUAUUUAGUUUCGUCAAAUUAGUGUAGUUCUUAGAGUUAAAUAAGUUAAAUACACAAAAACUCGUAAAUUGUUUAUAUCAGUCCCUGAGGAGAUCGACCUUGCUUGAGCAAUUCUAUACUACAAACACUUGUUCUCUUGCAAGAAUUUUCUAUAGUUUAACCCUUGUUUUACAAGUGGAAAAAUCAUCAUCAUGCAACUUCUCACGUUUCUCCUUAGACUAUGGGUUUUUCUCUCACCUUAGGUUUUACCAUAGCGAGGUUUUGUGAGUUUUACUUUUUAUACAUUCUUCCGUUGAUUUGAGACUCGCAUUUGCUCAUUGUGCUAACAACUUCAUCAACUAUACUUGCUUCAUCACUGAAGACCAGAUGCGUCAUUUACUUGAGUAUUUACACACUCAAAGCGGAGUGUUGCAGUUCUAUUGGAAUAGGAAUGUGAUUGUGUAAAUCCUAGUAGAUAUGAGAAUGUAUUUUAUAUUUCUAUUCGGAGUAGAUUACCUAUUAUAUGUUGUAAUCCUAAAGGGAAAGGUUUUUACCUAUCCUACUACUAUAAAUAAAGACACAAUGGGGUGGAAUAGAACACACCCACAAUUACACAUAUCUCUCUUCUUCUCUCUAUGUGCCGCACCCCUUCUCUCUCGAUGGCUUCCAUAAUUGUUCAGUAAAUUAUGCCUAUAACAUAUAUGUAUAUAAUUAUAAUUUCUCAUCUUCUAGUAUACCAAAAGAAAACCAUAUAGUAGCACCUUCACAAUAAAUUUUCUAACUUACACUAGGCCGAUGAAUUUACUCACAACAAAAUAUUUUCUUCUUUAAACAGAGGGCAAUUUUGUUAUAUUUUGUCGAGUAUACUGCCGAUUUGCCCCCUGAACUAUCACCCAACUUUCGAUUUCCCCCCUGAACUUUUUAAUUGGAAAAUUAAGGACUUAAACUAAUUUUUUUGGCCGAUUUGCCCCCUGCUGUCAAUUUUUCAUUCAUUCCAUCCAAAUUUUUGUUAAAUAGAAGCAUAUGCACAACAUGUGUGGGUAGUUCGGUCGCUUCAUUCUUUAAAAUAAUUGAAAGCCUUAGAUUUCUAAAAUAUAAACCUAUGCAAAUAUGUGUGAUUCUAUAGCUUUUGUAUCUAAAGGUCUAGUGAAAUGACAUUUUUGUCCACAAAUGAGAGUUACGUGGUUUGCACAUGAUAAGAGUUAACAUUAAUUUGGAUGAAAUCUAUGAAAAACUAACUGUAGGGGGGAAAUUGGCCAAAAAAAAUUAGUUUAAGUCCUUAAUUUUCCAAUUAAAAAGUUCAGGGGGGAAAUUGAAAGUUGGGUGAUAGUUCAGGGGGCAAAUCAACAGUUUACUCUAUUUUGUCCCAUGCCAUGCCAUCAAUACUAAUUUCACAGGCUUGAGAAAUACGAGAGAGAAAUUUUCCAAAUUUCAGUUUUAGACUUAGUUUUAACUACGCCCAGUGGAGUUUGAUUUUCAUCUUACUAUGCUAUUGUAACUCAAAAAUCGUAAUUUUACUCCUGAAACUCAAAAUUAGCUCCACUUUACCCCUUGAGACUCGAUUUUGGAUCCCAUUUUACACCUUGAAACUUAAAAUUGUUAUUUUACUUUAUAAACCUCAAAAUUCGCUCUAUAUUACCUUAAUUUUGUUAUGUGAGAUGUUACUACACAGUGGAGAUUAAUUUUAUUUACUGUUGGUUUCAUUAUUUUACUAUAUAAAUUUUGAUUUUAAUAUUUUUUAUUUAUUAUAUAUUAACACAUAAUGAAGAUUUAUAAUCAGAGAUGGAUCUCACUCAAGACACUAUAGUUUUUUGAAUUUUAAAGUAUAAAAUAGUGACUUUCAAAAUUUCAGCAUGAUAAAAUAAGACCAAAAUUAAGUUAUAAGGUGGCUUCGUGUUUGUCCAACAUUUUGUUUUUUUCUUUGCAAUUUCAUCGAAGAAGUCGCUUUGGAAUCAUGAAAAGAAAAAACGCCAAAUCGUAGUUGCUUGUUAUUUCAACUUUUUGUAUUCUUUCCACCUUUCAACACACUUUCAUUUAUGUUACUCUGCCAUGCGUUGUCUGGGAUUGCAGGACGUUUCCAAGAAACGAUGCGGUAGAAUAAUUGAAGGCCGUCAGCUGUUUCCCAACCCUUUUUUAUGAGGACAAGGAUUGUCUGCCGUCCACUUCCGAUGUCCUUUUCGUGUCUUUUUAUUUUUUGUAAUCAUGGUUAAAUCACGUUAAUAUUUUAUAUUUUUUUUAUAGAUAUAAUAAGACAAAAAAUAUAAAAUGUUGACGUAACUUAACUGUGAUCAUACAAAUAAAAGGGCACGAAGAGGACAUCGAAAAUGGAGGAUAGACCAUCCCUAUCAUUUUUAUGGAUGUAUUUUUGCUCAACAUCUUCGAGUGAUGCUACGGAGACUCGCUCGUAAUGCAACUCUUCACCGAUUCACUAGACACGCAAGGAUUAUUUUAGAAUCUAUUGUGAUGUAUGGGUCCCACUAAUAAAAUAUAAAAAAUGAAGGUUAGAUUGAAAAACUAAGAUUUAAAUCCUCACCGGAUUCCUUCUUUAGGAAUCUAGGAAUCAACGCACGUUAACCGUUGGUAAAAAAUUAUAUAGAAAACUUCAUUUUAAUCCUUAAAAAAGAUAAGAUUUAGAUUAUAACCAUAUAUAAGAUUAAAAUCCAAUUUUAGUCCCUAGCACAUUUAAUCAUAUCAUUUAUUAGUUGUAUUUUGAUGUUUUAUUUUAUCUUUUUAUUUUUAUUUUAAUGUAUUAGUUACAUUUAAAUUUAAUUUAUAUUUCAUUCAUCAUAAUAUAUUUUAAUGUCUACAUUUAGGCAACUAAUUUUUUUUAUAAUAUAUAUUCCGAUAACAAUUUUGUAUGUUCUUCAUUUAGGUACAUUAAUACAUUUGAAUAUUUUGGUAUAUCCAUCGGUACAAACAUGUAGUUACAUUGAUUCAAUAUAAUGCAUUUUGGUCAAUAUAAUGUAUUUCGUUACAUACACUUUGGUACACAUAUUUGAGUAUUGACUUUUAGGUACAUUAAUUCAAUUAUUAUAUUUCGGUAAAUUCAUUUAGGUACAUACAUUUUGGUACUAAUAUUUAGCUACAUAUAUUUUUGGUAUUGAUAUUUAGGUAUAUACAUGUUGGUACAUACAUUUUAGUAUUAACAUUUAGCUACAUUAAUUCAAUAUAAUAUUUUUCGGUACAUACAUUUAGGUUCAUUAUAAUAUAUUUCGGUACAAUCAUGUCGGUACAAAUAUUUCAGUACAAAAAAGUCAAUUUUAUAUAUUUUGGCACAAUCAUUUCUGUACACUUAUGUAUUUAUAUAUUUUUGUAUCACAAAUUUCUUUUAAUAUUUUCUCAUUUACAUUCAUUUCUAAUUCAAAAAAACUAAAUAUGAGCAUAUUAAUAAAAUUAAAAUUUAAUAUGGAGAGAUUAAAUAAAAAUAAACAUUAAAUAACAAAAAUUGAAUGUAAAUUUUGAUAAAAGUACACUCAAGGGAUUAAAUUGAAUAUUUAAUCUAGCACCAGGUUUUUUUUUUUAAUUUUAAUCUUUUGCAAUGACUAAUGUUCAAAAACCCCAAAAUUAUAUGGCUCCAAUUAAAUGUUUUUUAUAUUUUUAAAAGUAAAAUAAUCUUGUUUUGCGUAAAAAAUGUAAGGCUUAAAUAUUAAAAUGGUCAAUGUGUUUUAGUCAUUAGGUCAAUCCAAUCCUUGUGUUUUCAAUUUGGCCAAGCUUGUCCUUGUAUUUAUCUUCGUUAGCCAAUUAAAGACAUUUUCAUCUAAUUUCAGUAAACUUUUUUUAUAAAUUAUGAUAAACUUAUUUAUAAAACUAUUUAUUUGAUUUAAAAUAUUUAAAAAUGAAAUAAAACUAAAAAUUUAAAGAAAAAUGAUUCUUCUUCCAAUUUUCCCACCUCCUCCCUAACAUUACCCUCUCUCUUUUCUAUGUCAAAACCUUAAUCAUUUUUCAGAUUGGAAGUUUUAUCUCUUAUAUGUGUUAUUUCUAAUUAAUUUGCAUUUUUAUGUAAAGAUAAAGGGUAAUAAUAUAUAAUAUAAUUGUUCUUAUGAUUUUUUUAAAAGAUAUUGAAUAAAAUGUCCUUAAUUGGCUAAAAGAGACAAACACGAGGACUAAAUUAGCCAAAUAAAAAACACGGAGACUAAAUUUUCCAUGUGACUAUAGCACAAGGAUCAUUUUGACAUUUAAGCCAGAAGGAAAAAAUUGUGGUCGCAUGAUUUUUUAUCAACGGUCUACAUGCGUUGAUCCCUAAGAUCCCCAGGGAGGGGAUCCGGCGAGGAUCCAAAUCCGAAAAAUUGUAUCUUUUGCCAUUUCCUUCUUCUGUGUCUUCCUCACCUCUCAAACGAUAAAUUUUGUUAGAUUAGAUGUUAGAUUAGUCAUUGUCAAAGUUCGACUCACGCCAUAAUUAUUUUCUCUAAUUGAGCUCUUGAAGUAUUUUUGUAUAAAACUAUAACGAAUAUUAUACAUUAGUAGUUGAUUGGCCUAAUUGGAUUAAUAGUUUCUGUAGUGAUAUGAUAGUUGGAAGAUAGCCUAUGUGGGGAAAAAAACUAGGAUUUAAGCCUAUGUGGUAAAGUCUAUUAGGAUUUAUGCCUAAAAUUGAAAGUUUUGUCAACUUUAUGUUAAUUAUUAGCACGUUCCACACAUGUUAGGCUAAAACGGAACUCUCCAUACACAUACUAAGCUAAAACGGACGUGCUAAUAAAUAACAAAAAGUUAACAGAAUUUUCAAUUUUAGGCAUAAAUCGUAACAAACUUUACCACAUGAGCUUAAAUCCUAGGUUUCGGUUUUAGACUUAGUUUGUAGCUACACCUAGUGGAGUUUGAUUUUAAUUUUAUUAUGCUAUUGUAACUCAAAAGUCACAACUUUACUCCUGAAACUCAAAAUUCGCUCUACUUUGCCCCUUGAGACUCUAUUUUGGAUCCCAUUUUGCUCAUUGAAACUUAAAAUUGUCAUUUUACUUUAUAAACUUUAAAAUUCGCUCCAUAUUACCUUAAUUUUGUUAAUUUUGUUAUGUGAGAUGUUACUGCACAGUGGAGAUUAAUUUUAUUUACUGUUGGUUUCAUUAUUUUACGCUAUAAAACCCGAUUUUAAUAUUUUUAUUUAUUGUUGUUAACAUAUAGUCAAGAUUUAUAAUCAAAUUUAUUGACACAUGUAGCGUAGUUUUAUUCAGGAAUGGAUCUCACUCAAGAGACUAUUGAGGUUUUUGAAUUUUAAAGUAUAAAAUAGCGACUUUCAAAAUUUCAGCAUGAUAAAAUAAGAUCAAAAUUAAGUUAUAAGGUGGCUUCGUGUUUGUCCAACAUUUUGUUUUUUCUCUGCAAUUUCAUCGAAGUCGCUUUGGAAUCAUGAAAAGACAAAACGGCAAAUGGUAGUUGCUUGUUAUUUUAACUUUUUGUAUUCUUUGCACCUUUCAAUACGCUUUCAUUUAUUUUACUCUGCCAUGCGUUGACUGGGAUUGCAGGACGUUUCCAAGAAACAAUGCGGUAGAAAAAUUGAAGGCCGUCAGCUGUUUCCCAACGGAUGUAUUUUUGCUCAGCAUCUUCAAGUGAUGCUACGGAGACUCGCUCGUAAAGCAAGUCUUCACCGAUUCACUAGACACGCAAGGAUUAUUUUAGAGGACAAGGAUUGUCUGCCCUUCAUUUUCAUGUCUUCUUUAUGUCUUUCUAUUUAUGUGGUCACGGUUAAGUUACGUCAACAUUUUAUAUUACUAUUCAUUUUUGUCUUAUUAUAUAUAUAAAAAAAAUAAUAUAAAAUGUUGAAUUAGCUUAACCAUUAUCACACAAAACAGAAUGGCACGGGAAGGGAACCGAAAGUGAAGGGCAGACAAAAUGUGUUGUGAUGUAUGGGUCCCACUAAUAAAAAAAAAAUGAAGGUUAGAAUUGAAAAACUGUAUCUUCUGCCGUUUCAUUCUUCUGUGUCUUCCUCACAUUUUAAAAGAUAAAUUUUAUUAGAUUAGAUGUUAAAUUAGUCAUUAUCAGAGUUCGAAUCACGCCAUCAUACUUUUCUCUAAUUGAGCUCUUGAAGUAUUUUUGUAUAAAACUAUAACGAAUAUUAUACAUUAGAAUAGAUAGUUGAUACGCCUAAUUGGAUUAAUAGUUUCUAUGGUGAUAGAGUAGUUGGAAGAUAGUCAUGUGGUGAAAAAAACUAGGAUUUAAUCCCCUAUGGUAAAGUCUAUUAGGAUUUAUGCUCAAAAUUGAGAAUUAUGUCAAAUUUCUGUUAAUUAUUAUCACGUGCCACACAUAUUAGGCUAAAACGGAACUCUUUAUACACAUACUAAGCUAAAACGGACGUGCUAAUAAUUAACAUAAAGUUAAUAGAAUUUUCAAUUUUGGGCAUAAAUCGUAACAAACUCUACCACAUGAGCUUAAAUCCUAAUUCUUUUCUACGGAGGUUAUCUUCCAACUGUCAUUUCACCACGGAAACUAUUAAUCCAAUUAAGCCUAGUUGAUAUUUCCAAUAAAAAGAGAGAUGAUUUUAUUAAUCAACAUUGAAGGUUUUGUGUAUAUUCUAUGAAGGCAUAAGGGAAUUAUACUAUAGUCUCCUCACAAAAAAUUCUUAGCUCUAUCAUUUUUCGUUUACCUAUAAUUCACACGGACGGGAUCAAUUUAUUAAGGGAUAUAUGAAACACGUAAAUGAGAUAAAUUCAUAUGUGCAUUAAACAUGACAUAGUCAAUGUGCAAUUUAAAUUUAAGAAAAGAAAAUUAUACUUACAAGACAUGAAAAAUUUGUUAAUCAACGUUGAAAUUUUUGUGCAUAUUCUAUGAAAAAAAAUAUGGAAAUUAUACUAUCAUCUCCUCAUAAGAAAUUCUCAACUAUGUCAUUUUUCGUGAAUUUGUGAUACACUCUAAAUGAGAUGGAUUCUUCAAUAAACUUUUGAUAAACAUAACUGAGACAUAUUCAUAAGUUUAUUAAAAAUGAUGAACCUCACUGAGUAGGCUAGAAUGCAAUUUUCUUGUGUUUUCAUAGCAUAUGCACAAAAAAUUAAUGUUGAAAAAUAAGUUUUUUUUAUAUAUAUAUUUUUAUGUAUAUAAGUAUAAUAUCCUUUUCAUCUUCUACUACAAGUUUUGUACAUAUUCUACAAUUUCAAAAAAAAAAAAUUAUAUGUAUAUAAGUUUAGUUUCUCAUUUUCUAGUAUACCAAAAGGAAACUAUAUAGUAGCAGUUCAUAAUAAAUUUUCUAACUAACUUACACUAGGCCUAUGGAUUUACUCGCAGCAAAACAUUUUGGACUUGGAUUCUCUGCCCUCCCAUUUCGGUGCCCUCCCCGUGUCCUCCUGUUUUGUGUGGUCACGGUUAAUACAUGCUAACAUUUUAUAUUGUUUUUUAUAAAAAUAAUAAGACAAAAAAAAUAGUAAUAUAAAAUAUUGACGUGGCUUAACCGUGACCACACAAACAAGAGGGCACGGGGAGGGCACCGAAUUAGGAGGGCAGAGAAUCCAAGUCCAAACAUUUUCACCCUUAGACAGAGGCAAUUUUGUUAUUUUUUGAAAAUUGAACCAUAAGGGCUUCUUCCUUAAUAAUAUUAGAUGAAUAUAAUAUUUUUCAUCUUCUAGUAUAAAUCGUGUGCAUAUUUUAUGAAACCAAAAAGAAAUCAAAUAGUAAUCUUCGAAAAUUUGAACAUACAUGUAAAAAGUAUUUUGAGCUACAUUAUUGCUAGCCCAUUGUGAAACUAAACUCAUUUCAUCUCCUUAGUAUAUAUAAUAUCAUUUGUUAAAAAAAAAUAUUGGUAUAAGGAAUGCUAACUCAUCUCAAGGUUAAGGACUUAAAGAGGGGGUCUUUGUCUUUUUUUAUUUUUUUUAACAGAUCGUUCAUAAAAAAUGAUUGCCGACAAUGAAAUUCAAACCAAACGCUUGAUCUAGCAAACAAAGCGAUCACUAUAAACCCCUAAAAUUAGAACAUUGUGUCCAUAAUAAUCAAUUGAAAUUUAGAGAGCGGAAAAUGCUACAGAGACUCACUCAAAAAUUGAAAUUUAAAUAACAAUUAAACUUAACAUUUUCUCUGUCUUUGCUCUACCUACCCAUAGGAAGUUCAGGAACGCAAAAGCAAAGUGCUUCUGAAAAUUCCAGUCGUUCAUGCCAACUCCGACCAUGAAAUUGGUAACCGUGGCUAAAAGUCGCAAACACACUAUGAAAAACUUCCCUAAAGCCCAGAUCUGAAUCUUGUAACCGGACAAAAAAAAGUGAAGUUUGAAUCGUAACAAAAAAGUUCAUAAUUUCCUUAACUUUGUCUUUUAGAAUUCGAUUUUUUUUAUUGCAUUGUGCUUCUUGAAAUUUAAAAAUUGUCAUUUUACUCUAUAAAACACAAAAUCUGCCUUACAUUGUCUUAAUUAUGUUAAUUCUAUUAUGUGAAAUGUUAAUGCAAGGUGGAAUUUAUUUUAUUUUCGUUUGAUUUUGUUAUUUUACUCUAUGAAACUCGAUUUUAUUAAAAAAAUUAACACAUAAUGUUGAAUUAUAAUCUAAUUCAAUGACACAUAUAGCAUAAUCUUAUUGAGGGGUGGGUCCCCUAUAUAUUUCACAAGGUGACCAUUGAUUUUCAGGGAGAAAGAAAAUUUAAAAGUUAAAAUAGAACAAAUUUUGAAUUUUAAAGAGAAAGAGAUGAUUUUUAAGUUAUACAGAACAACACAAGAUCAAAAUAUAGGGAACUUUAACAAAAAGCAUCCGGUACUGUUCACUUUAACGAAAAAUCAUAUUUUUACACUAAAAAAUCAAUCAUGGUACUAUUUAUUUUACCCUUUAUUUUGUCCUUAUCAUUAAAACUCAAAGUUUUCAAAUCUUUUUCAUUAGUUUCCUCAAAAUUUAAGGUAGGUGCGCGUUUGUUCAACAUUUUGCUUUUUCUUUACCAUUUCUUGGAAGUCGAUUUGGAAUCAUGAAAAUAAAAAAGGCCAAAAGUCAGUUGCGCGUUAUUUCAACCUUUUGUAUUCUCUGCACCUUUCAACACGCUUUCAUUUACUUUACUCGGCCUUGCAUUGACGCGGAUUGCAGGACGUUUCCAAGAAACGAUACGGUAGAAUCAUUGAAGGCUUUAGCUUUCCUUUUCUAUGGAUGUAUCUUUGCUCAACAUCUUCAAGUGAUACUACGGAGACUCGCUCAUAAACCAGGUCUCCAAAAGGCACGGUGCUUUUCUCUCCAGAGCUUCCUUCCUUCCUCUGUGUCUUCCUCACCCCCACCCUUUCUCCUCCCCACUCUCUCCCCUCUCCGAUGAAACCCAGAAGGCACUCUGCUUUUCUACACAGGAGGAUCGGUGAAGAAGAUGGAGAAGGAAGGAUGAAGUUUCGAGGGACCCGUCUGCAGAUGGAAAGACGGAGAGAGGAUUUUUAGUUUUUUAAUGAUUUUAAUAGUGGGGAAGUUGAAACACGUAUUUUAAUUCCAUCUGAAUUUGUGAGGAUUUCAAAAUUCACGUUCAAUUUCUUUAUUGUGAAUCGUACAAUCAGAUAUUAUUUUAAAUUUUUAUUAAAAUUAAAUACGGACAGAAAGUCCUGCGAAAUGACACGACAACUCUAACAAACGCACUAGAACUAUUAAAUAUGUUUGAUUAUUAUUUUCAAAUUCUUGAUUUUUAUUUAAUUUAACGUAUAUAGAGGGAAGGCUAUCCCAUUCCAAGUAAAUGGCAUAUUACAAGUUUUUUUGACGAUUUAUAAAGGGGUAUACUACAAGUUUUUCUGAAGAUUUAUAAAGGGGUAUAUUACAAGUUUCUUUGGAAUUUUGCAGAGCAUUCACCAAUAAGGUGUUUUUUUUUUUUAUCAAAUGAUAAAUUUGUUAGAUUAGAGAACCGACAUAAUUCGAAUUCAUACUAUGAUAUAUGAACAACACUUAUCUUCACCACUGUUAUAAAAUCCACUUAUUUCACUAAGAAAAGUUGUCGGAUGCGAAAUUCAAACUUGGAUUUUGGUCUAAUAAAUGUAGUUGAAUAUACUUUCCCUUAACACCCAAUUUUAUGCAUAUUCUUUGAAAAUGCAAGAAAAUUCUACUAGUCUUUUCACAAGAAAUUCCCAACGUUAUCAUUUACCGUCAACCCAUUAUUCACGCAAUUGAGUUUAAUUGCGUGUUUGUUCAACAUUUUGUUUUUUCUUUACCAUUUCUCCGAAGCGCUCUGGAAUCAUGAAAAGAGAGAAAAGGCCAAAUGGUAGUUGCGUGCUAUUUCAACUUUUUUGUAUUCUCUGCACCUUUCAACACGCGUUCAUUUAUUACGAUUGGGUGAUAUUACUCUACAUUCUAAAUAUUUAUUUAAUUUAAACUAUAGAGAGGGAGGCUACCGCAUAUUACAAGUUUUUUUUAGGACUUGCAGAUGGAGUUUUAGCAUAUAUUUUGAAUUUUACAGAUCGUUCAACAAGAAUAAUUGUAAGUUGCAAUAUUCGAACUUAGAUAUUGAUCUAAAGAAGAAAACAAUCAUUAUCAACUUUCAAAAUUAGAAUAACGCGUCUAUAAUAGUUAAUUGAAAUUUAUAAAAUUAUCUACAUAAAAUGAGGGUAGCAGAGAUGAAAAUGCUUUAUUGGAUGUGUAGGCACACGAGAAAUGAUAAGAUUAGGAAUGAUGAUAUUCAAUGUAAAGUAUGAGUAGUCGAAAUUAAAGAAAAAAUGAGAGAAAAUCAGUUACGGUGAUUUGGACAUAUGAAACGGAGAUCUAUUGAUACUCCAGUUAGAAUAUGCGAUUAUGAAAUAGAGUUUUAGGGCCAAAGGGGUAGAUGAAGAGACUAUAAAAAAAUACUUAAAGUACUUGAAUCUAACGGAAGACAUAAUACAGAAUCGAGCAUAAUUCGUAUAGCCGAUCUCAUUUAGUAAGAAAUUUUUUUAUGGGUAAAUUACAUAGUAGCCCAUCAAGUUUGAGGUCUAUUACAACCCCAUACAACAUUUUUAAAACAUUUCACUUUCAUACCUCACUUUCUAUUUUAUUUCAAAAUACAUUUUUAAAACAUUUCACUUUCAUACCUCAUGUUCUAUUUUAUUUCAAAAUAAUACAUCCGUUACAUUUUUCAUCCAUUGAUCCGUUAAGUGCUGACGUGGCUGUCAUAUUUAUGUCACAUGGCUACCAAAUGUGUGCCAUGUGGCAAAAAAAAAUAAUUUAAAAAAACAAAAAAACCCUAAUCUUCUAAAUAAAAAAAAAAAAAAAAAGGUUAGAAAAUCUAAAUCUCAUCACCCCACCCCUACCCCCAUACCUGAGCCUUAAGGAAAGAAGAAGAACCAGGAACAUGGAACCAUGAUCUUCUUCCAUCCGUCGUGCGCAUCCAUCCUCCACCUCCUCCUCUGCACCCAUCUCCACCUCCUUCGUGCACCCAUCUUCCGCUCCCCCAACCCGAGCCUAACCUGCAACCCAUAAAGAAGGAAGAAAAAAUAAAAUAAAAUAAAAUAAAAAACCCAGCGCACCCACCCUUCGCCUUAAAUCCACUCAUUGGGGAAGACGGGAUCUGGGUUGCAGGGAAAGGGAGAUGGGUUUUUAUUUUUUUUCUUUUCUUUUCUAGGUUGCAGGUAGUGGGUGCAGAGGAUAAGGUGGAGGAUGGGUGUACUGUGGGUUUGGGGAAGACAGGAGGGGGAAGAAAGGGGUGGGUUGCAAGGAGGGGGGGUUGGGGAGGAUGAAGAUGCGUGUUUAUUUAUUUUUAUUUUUAUUUUUUGCCUCUUCUCUUCUUCUUCUUAUGGGUUGCAAGUUGGGUGGAUGGGGGUUGCAGGUUCAGCUUUUGUUUUUUAUUUUUUUUGAUUUUUUGUAUUUUUUAGAAGAUUUAGGUUUUUUAAAAAAAAAAUUAAAAAAAAAUUGCCACUUAGUACAAAUGUGGCAGCCAUGUUAGCACUUAACGGAUCAGAUGGAAAAAGUAAUGGAGUUAUUAUUUUGAAAUAAAAUAAAAUGUGAGGUAUGAAAGUACAAUAUUUUAAAAAUGUUGUAUGAGGUUAUAAUAGAUCUCAAAUCUAAAGAAUUAUUAUGUAAUUUACCUUUUUUUUAUUGUUAUUCUUGUAGUUGCGUGUUACGUCAACUUUUUGUUUUCUCCCUACAAUUUCUUCGAAGUUGCGAAAUAUAAUGGAAUCAUAAACAAAGGAAAAAGACCAAGUCUUCGUUUACUUUGUUUAGGUCGCCCACGAGGGCCACUACCCCCUUUAUUAUUCUUAUUAUUGGUGCUGGUGGUUGUGGUUGUUGUCAGAUCGCAUUUCAAAUGAAUCUAUACGUUUUCUUUUACUUUACUCAGACGUGUGCGUGGGCUCAGAUUCCAAAGAAGUCUUUAUCUGAACCCACGCAUACCUAACCAUUUCAUACAAUUUACCGUAAAUUCUGUCCCUUUUUAUACAAUUUACUGUAAAAUUCCCCGUGUCUCUUUCUUACCUCGUUCGUUUAGGUAUAUAUAAACCUGUGCUAACAAUAUUAUUCAUCAGCCAAGAAGAGAUUCCGUAAGAGAAAAUAAAGUUUUGAGUCGUUUUAUUCACUUAAAUAUGUCUGUGGCUUCAGUCGGCGUGGGUGCCCUGAGAACGGCAUUUCAAAUGCUGUUUGAUGCGGUAAAAUCAGUGCAGGAGGAGACUACUAUGUUCAAGCACCUCCUCGGAGACAUCAAAUCCACACUGAACUCUCUGCAGCCACUCAUCCAAGAGAUUGAAAAAUAUAACUCGAAAGAGGGACUGGAAUAUUUUACAGUACAAAUGGAGAAGGGAGCAGAUCUUGUUCAAAAGUGCAGCAAAGUUGGCGUGUGGAAAAAAUGCAAAUACACCAAGAAGCUCCAUCAACUGGAAAAAUCUCUUCGAAGAGUGUUUGAUGAACUCAAACUGCAGGGCGUAAGGGAUGCGAGGGAGACGUUGGUUUCUCUCAGGAAUAUCGAGACGGCGUUCUCUCGAAUAGAAAAGAAUUUGGUGAUGAAAAGUAAUCAACCUGAAACGGUAAAUGUUCGUAUGCGGUGCCUGAACCCCCAUCCGUUACAGUCGGGUUGGAUUUGCCGUUGAGGGAGUUGAAGAUGAAGCUCCUUAAGGAUGAAAAGGUUUCGAUGCUUGUGCUUACAGCUGCUGGAGGAUGUGGGAAAACAACCUUGGCUAAAAAGUUUUGUCAAGAUCAAGAAGUCAAAGGUAUGCUAUCAAUGAUUUCAAUUUUUUUUUUUUGUGAAGUGUUAACUUCCUAGAUAGUUAAAAAAUUAUGUAGAUGAUGCAAUUUAGUAUUACGGUAUGGUGAUAUUUAUUUUUAUUGAUAAUUGAUAGGUUUUAAAUUAGAUUCUUGUUACAGACGAAUUUAAACUACAUUAUUGCUAACUUAUUGUAAGGUUAAAUCCAUCAGUUUAGAUUUUUCUAAAAAAGAAAAAACAUAUAGAGGAUUAGACGAGCAAAAGUAUGCACUAUGGCCAAGACCCCUAUAAAACGCCCGCUAGUCCCUCCAAGUAUCCACACCAACCCAAAUUUGUUCAAGAGAAUACAAUGUACAACGAAGGGGACAUGAAACUAAACCAUGCGAAAGCACAAAGCCGGUCCUUAAGGUAGUCUGUGCAGGUGCCGCCUAAGGCCCCACUUCGGAAGGAUCCCUAAAAAAUUUAUAUGUUGUGUAAAUAACAUAUAAAGAAAAAGUAAAAAAAUAUCAUAAUUCAUUUGUUGGUAUAGUGAAAAUAUUCAGCUGCCUUUUUCUUUGUGGUGGGAAUCGAAACAUAGAGUUGCCGUUUUAUGGUCACUAGUUUUUUCUUGUUUUUCAAAUUUACUCACAAUUCAUUUGUCCAAAUGCAUAUAAGGUAUAAAACUCAAGUCACUAUGCAUCUUUUUUUUUUUUUUUUUUUUUUUUUUUUCAAUUUCCCAAUCUCUUCAUUUCUAUAGAAUGUUUAAAUCAACUAUCACAUAGUCUUGAAGAUUGUACUUUAAGGUAAUAAAAAUUUUGAAUUAAUAUUUUGGUUUUUAAUAAUUUAUUAUUCAAUGAAGUAUUUCAAUAUCCGAUUCAUUAGUAUGAUGUUGUAGAAAAAACAAAAGAGAAACAAUUGACGUUGUUGAAUUUAUUAUACUCGUCAAUCAAGUUUUAUUGUUCUUUACUCUCCUGAUCAUCAAGUUUUAUUAUUUUUCACUCUCAAUCUUAAAACUUUUAGACUUCAAACAUUUAGUACAUUUGCGUUUAAAAAUGUGAGACGUGUAAUAUUUAAAUAAUGUUUGUAUAUCUAUUUUCUUUUGAUAUUAAUUUUUAGGGGCUUUUAAAUCCAGGUCCAAAAAUAUAGAUGGUUGUUAGGAGUGAGUCCAGUUAUCCAAUUACAUGCUUUUAUUUUUUUUUAUGCUCAUUUUAUAUUUGCUAAAAAUAUUAAAAAUCAAUUAAAAUCUUAUAAUAUUAUGUAUUUUCCAACUCCAAAAAAUCUAAUUAAUAUCUUAUAAUGAAAAAAAACUAACAUACUUAACAUAAAUCUAUCUGGUAAACAUUGUACCUGAACUCAAGUAACAAAUAUAUGAAGAGUGUUGAUAUUCUCACCCGGUGUCUUAUUUCCUCACCAUUUAACAAAAAUGUUAAUGACAUGUUUAACCUUUUUAACGAAGACUUUUAAACCUUAUUUAAUUAAUUACUAAAAUAUUUAAAAAAUUAUAAUAUAAAAUAAUAUAUAAAUAAUCAUGGGUGGGGUGUGAUAUCUGCAGUGGAGAGAGGCUGGGAAAGAUUUGGGCUACAAUGGGUAUAAAGGUUGGGAGAAGGAAUAGGUGUGUGCUAGAUGGAGGCGAGAAACUUCAAUGGAGUCUCUGCGGUGCGGUGAUAGGUGUGAGUACUAGGGUUUGACUCGGGGGAAAUGGAAUAUCGGUGAAAAUAGAGGGUGGGGAUCUGGAAAGAGAUCCGGGUGGUAUAUUUGAGUGGGAAGAGAUAUUGCGAAAGCGAUGCAAUGAUUUUAAUGACAUGCAUGAUUUGAAGGAGAUGAUGAAUGUCCAAGUUUGCAUUUUUUUUCUACUUCAGUUCUCCGUUUUUAUUUAUUUAUUUAAAUAUUAUUUAAAGAUAUAUUAGAGUUAUUUAAAACAAAACAUAUUAGGGUUAUUUUGAGAUUAAUGGUGGGUGGGAUUUACAUUUUACUUUUUUAACUUUUUGUGAUUGUGAGUGGGAAAAUAGGACAUUAGGGUGGGUCUAAUAGGACACUGGGUGGGAUUGUCAUUUUUAUGAAUGUGUAUUAUACUCAUAAGCGAGAUAUGAAAUCUAACUAAAAGGUUAAAAAAAUAAUAAUAUACAUAAAAGCAAGACAUAUUAAUCUGUGACGGGCUGAUUAUAAAAAAGAAUCUUUCAUAUAGGUGGAUAAAUAUUAUUAACCUGUGAUAUAUGUUGGUUAUAAAAAUUAAAAUUAAAAUUUAUAAAUGGGGUUUAAAGUAGGAGGAAAAACAAGAAAUAACAAAAAAAUAAUAAAAAGAAAUAAUCAAAGAGAUAAUUAGGAAGAAAUUUGAUUUUUAUAAUAAAUCUCAUCAUUGACGAGAUAAUUAUUAAUAAUUAAUAAUUAAAUAUAAGGAAUUGGACUUAUUUUAAUAAAUUGGACUAAUAUCAAGUUUUCCUUGACUUUUAAUGAUAUUUGAUGUGGAAAUAAUUUUUUUAUGUAUUUAGCGAAUUUUUUUUUUGUACAUAUAAAAAAUUGGGGGUCAAAGAACUUUAGGGUCCCACUUUGAAAGCUCGUCUAAGGCCCUCAAAAUCUCAGGUCCAGCCCUGUGAAAACAAAUUAAGAAAGUUCAUAAAUUCUUCUACAUAUAGCUUCAUCUCAGGGCACAAAUCUUGCAAUGAGCUCUUGCUUGACUACUUAAUUACUUGUUCUGAGAAUUGCAGACAUAUCUAGUCAACCUUUUUAUUAACCUCCGACAUUCUGUUUGGAUAGAUACAUUCAAGAACAAUAUCUUCUUUGUCAAUGUGUCGAAAAAGCCCAACUUGGACCUUAUUGUACAUGAACUAUAUCAACUGAAGGGGUUUGAGCCGCCUGUUUUCCAAAACGAAUUCAUGGCAGUUAACUGGUUGCAACAAUUUUUGAAGAAAGCAAGACACAAUCCUCUGUUGUUUGUCCUGGAUGACGUUUGGUCAGGAUCAGAGUCCCUUCUUGAUAAGUUUGAUCAAUUCAAGUUUUCAAAUUACAAAAUUUUGGUCACAUCAAGAUUUGCAUUUCCGAGAUUUGGUUCUCCAUACCAUUUGGCAUUAUUGAAUGAUGAGGAUGCAAUGGCUCUUUUUCACCAUUCAGCAUCCUCAGAGGAUAAGAGCUCUUAUACUUCCGAAGAUCUUUCAAGAAAGGUGAUUUCUUAGUCUGCAAUACACAUAUAUGCUUAUUUAUGCCUCAGAGAGUCAGAAGAGGGCAAAGAAAUAACGUUGAGCGUCCACGCAUGUCAACACAUCCAUUUACCGUCUUAUAAUAAGAAUGAAAGAGUAGACAGUUAAACAAUUUUAUCAUCUUUAUUGAAACAUUUAGAUGAUUUACAACAAUUUAAUCAAAUAAUAACUGAAUUCAUUCGGGAUAAUUAAAUUGCAGAUUAUGAAGCGCUGUAAGGGAUGGCCACUUGCCAUUGCAUUGGUCGGGAGGUCACUUCGCGGCCAGCCUUUAGAAAUCUGGCAGAAAAGAGUACUGGAAUGGAGCAAAGGUUCAUCUAUUCUUGAUACUGACAAGGAUUUGCUUGCUUGCCUCCAGAGCAGCUUAGAUGCCUUGGAUAAAGAAAAGACUAUGAUCAUGGAAUGUUUCCUCGAUCUAGGUUCAUUUCCCGAGGACCAAAGAAUCGCUGCUGCCACCCUCAUUGACAUGUGGGCGGAGUUAUAUGGUCUAGAAGAAGAAAUUCUGACCAUUGCCAACCUUCAUGGGCUCACCACCCGAAGUUUGGCAAACCUUGUUGUCACAAGGUAUGCACCCUACUCAUAAUUUUCUAUUCCAUUAUGUAUACCAAACAAAUCAUAAAAGAAAUUAUUAUUGAUCAUCCAGGCGUGAGAGGGAGGCGGACGGCUAUUACACCGAAGACUUUGUCACCCAGCAUCACAUGCUUAGAGAGUUGGCGAUCCAUCAGGCGAUUCAAGACCCAAUAGAACAGAGGAAAAGGCUAGUUAUAAACAUAUGUGGGGACAACCUUCCUAAGUGGUUGACAGAACAAAAGUAUCAAGCGUCCAAGGCUCGACUAUUAUCUAUCUCAACAGGUUCCAUCAAUCUCUAUAGUAAAUACGUCAUUGUUAUCUAUAUAGUAAAUACUUAUACGUGCACACAAGUAUGUGUGCAUGGACACGCUUGUGUGCACACACACUCGCUCAUUCAUAUUAAGACCUCAAUAGGACUUCAGAACAUUUAAUUUCAACCCACACUAACAUCUUAAAGCUUAUGGUUUGCAGAUGGAGCCUUCUCAGCAAAAUGGCCAAACAUGCAAGUACCUGAAGCAGAGGUUCUAGUUUUGAAUUUUCAAACAAAGAACUAUGCCUUACCUCAGUUCGUGGAGAAAAUGGAUAAACUAAAGGUUCUAAUAAUCACAAAUUACGGUUUGUCACCUGCUGGACUAGAUAAUUUUGAACUACUUGGUUCAUUAUCAAAUCUUAAGAGAAUUAGAUUAGAACGUAUUUCAAUUCCCACCAUAAGCAAGGUCCUCAAACCGUUGAAAAGUUUGCAAAAGAUAUCAUUUUUCAUGUGUGAUAUCGGUCAAGGUUUCAACAACUGUUCCAUUUCAAUCACAUCAGCAUUCCCGAAUCUUGAAGAAAUGAACAUCGACUUUUGCAGUGAUUUAAUUGAAUUGCCUUCCAAGCUUUGUGAUCUUAGUAAACUAAAGAAGCUCAGUAUUACUAACUGUCAUAAGCUAUCUGCCUUGCCUGAAGGGAUUGGAAAGUUGGAAAAUUUAGAAAUGUUGAGGCUAAGAUCCUGCACAGAACUGUCGAAGCUUCCAAUUUCGAUGAAGAACCUUGGAAAGGUAAAAUUUCUUGAUAUAUCUGAUUGCUUUGGCAUCAAGGUGUUGCCCAAAGACAUUGGUGAAAUGAGUGGUUUAAGAAAGAUCAAUAUGAGACAAUGCUCAAAGUUGCAAGAGCUGCCUCCAUCAGUCAUGGAUCUUGAGCAGUUAGAGGAAGUGGUCUGUGAUGAACAGACAAAAUGUUUAUGGGAAUCUUUCUUGUCGUGUCUCAACAACGUAAGGAUAAUUGUGGCGAAAGAGAAUAUCAACCCAAAUUGGCUCCAAAAGACUCAGUUCUGACACGUGUUUCCUCAAUGAACGUUGCUCUUAAACCUCUGUGUGGUUUGCGUUUUUUAUGGGACAUUUUAAACUAUGAUGUUUAGAAACCUUGGAUACUGUCCAGAAAAAUGGUUUGGUAGGAAACAAAGGAAAUGUUGUGAUCCAAAAUCAAGAAGGAUUUCAUGAUUUGGGUCAGUUCCUGAACCUCCAAUGUUACAGUUGGAUUGGAUGAGCCUUUGAGGGAGUUGAAGAAGAUGGGAAAACCACAUUGGCAAUGAAGUUAUGUCAAGAUGAGGAAGUCAAAGGUAUGAUAAUACUUUCUAAUUGCUUUUUAUAUUCUGAAAUUCCAUAUCCCCACUGAGGAAAGUGCCUAACCAAACCAGAAGGGUUAUAGUAGAAUUAAUCUGCAAUUUUGACAUCUUUUUCUCUCAAUUAGAACUAGUAGUAUGUUAUAGAUGUCAUUCGUUGAGUUGAAGCCUUUUGUACACUUAACAGCUUCGGUUAUAUAUAACAUCAAAGCUAAUCCAUAAAUGGAAUAUUUCAAAUGCUCAAAAAUCUUCUGAGAAAGAUUUAUUUCUCUCUAUGCAAUCCAAAACAAAUAUACUUAUCAAGGCUUCACAACAAAGUGUGGAAAAGAAAUUGUUUUGAUCUUUUACAAUAUGUAUGCACAUACAGAAGCAAACACCCAUUUUACCAUAAGAUUUUUCUUUAGAACUAAAACUGAAAUAAGAAUGAAGACGAGUAGGUAGUCAUUAACCAUUUUCACAAAACCCUUGAGAUGUUAAAAGAAACUUGAAAUUUCGGUAUGCAACUCAGAUGGUAAACCUGCAGAUACUAAACCUUUGUAAGGGAGUUCCGCUUGCCAUUACAGUGACCGGGAAAUCACUUUGUGGACAAGCUGCAGAAUUCUAGCGAUUCAAGACUAGCAGACUGUUGUAAAGGUUCUAUUCUUGAUUCUAAGACUGAGUUGCUUCUUCGCCUUCAAAGUAGCAUAGAUUCCUUAGAUGGCAAAGAGGCUAUCAUCAGGGAAUGUUUCACAGACCUUGUUUCAUUUCCUGAAGAUCAAAGAAUCUCUGCUGCUGCUUUCAUUAAUACGUGGGCAGAGUUAUAUAAGCUAGAUGAGGACUUUCUGUUCAUUAAGAACCUCCACAAACUCGCCACCAGAGGUCUGGCACAUCUUGUGAUCACUAGGAAAGCAAGCACAUGUAUAUGUACACACGCAAGUGCACAGACACACACGCUAAGAUUUGCACAUAAGUUUCAUUUAAUUUCUGUCCUACUCAUAUCUGGUAGCAUAUCGUUUGCAGAUGGAAAGUUCUCAACGCAAUGGCGGAGUGUUCAUCUACCACAAGUUUUGAGGUUCUAGUUUUGAAUUUUAAGACAGAGAACAACGCCUUACCUGAAUUUGUGCAGAAAUUUGACAAACUGAAGUUUCUAAUGGUCACAAACUAUGGUUUAAAUCAGAUUAGAGUGCAUUUCAAUUCAUUCCAUAACCAAGAACUUCGUUGCAUUGAAGAGUAAAGAAGAUAUCUUUAUUCAUGUGUAACAUGGGUCAAGCUUUCCGCAAUUGUUCCAUCAAAAUUUCAGAUGCCUGGCCAGGUAUAGAGGAAAUGAAUAUAGACUAUUGCCAUGAUUAGGUGGAACUGCCUACCGAGCUCUAUGAUCUUGUUCAUAUGAAGAUGCACAAUAUCACCAACUGUCAUAAGCUAUCUGCCUUGCCUGAAGAGAUCGGAAAGCUGGAGAAUUUUGAAGUAUUGAGACUAAGGUCUUGUACAGACUUGGUAAGGCUUCCGGUCUCUAUUGAGAACCUCACUAAGUUGUGCUGUCUUGACAAGUAUAAUUUUUUCGGCAUUAAGAAAUUGACUGAAGGCAUUGGUAAUAUGAGCGGUUUAAGAAAGAUCAACAUGGGACAACGCUCAAGAUUGAAAGAAUUUCCUCUGUCAGUGUGGGAUCUUCACGAGCAGUUCGAGGAAGUGACUUUGUGAUGAAGAGAAGAAGCGUUUGUAAUCCUUCAUAGCCAGAGACAAAAUCAAGGUGGCAAAAGAAAAAACCAAUCUGAAUUGGCUCGAAAAGCCUUAGCUGUUAGACCUGUCUUUCCUCGAUAAAUGUUGGAGCAGCGUUUUUCUGAUUUGUGUUGCACUGUUUUCUUUAAUUUGUAUUUUCUUGUUGGAUUUUCUUGUUUGAUUUCGUUCUUAGUUCUGUCUAAUUUCUAAGUUUCAUCACAUCAAUUUGUAAUCAAAUUUUCUUGAGUCUUAAGAAAUUAUGCGUUCUGAUGUUAUGGUUUUACCCAAUAUAAAUAAGGGAGUUUUAACGAAAAGCCCAACGGUACUGUUCACUUUAACGAAAAACUACAUUUUUACACUAAAAAGUUAAACCUGCUACUAUUCACUUUACCCUUUAUUUUUUCCUUAUUAUUAAAACUCAAAGUUUUCAAGCCAUUUUCAUUAGUUUUCUUUAUAAACAAUGUGUAUUAUAUUUUCUUGGAUUAUACAAAAAAUGUUUUUUUUUACUGCACCUAAUAUGUAAAUUAUGCAUUUAGUUAUAUUGACAAGUUUUCCUUUGUUGCUUCCAUGGAUGAUUAUAUAUUGAGAUAUUCUAAGUUGAGGUAUAUCAUAUUUUAAUUUAAUGACGUUGUUAUUGUUGAUAUCGUUGGUAGAUCAUCUGCAACCUUAGGUCAAAACCUAAAAUUUUUAACCCAGAAAAUUUAGAUUUUAACCCAAAAACAGCUUUGCUACUCAAACCCUUAUGGGUUAAAUUUUUAGCCCGAGAUUAAGAAUGAAUUUUGGCUAAUUUUUUUAAAAUAACUUUUAGAAAAAAAAAUUAAGUAGACUAUCAUAAUUUAAUUUUAAGAACAUUUUAACCUAAAAAUAUUUAGAUGAAAAAAAAAAAACUAAAUCGACACCAUGAAACUCAUGAACACUAUGAAAGAAUAUGAAACACAUGAUAGAGAUGUAUAAAACACAUGAAACACAUAUAAAACACAUGAAACACAUAUAAAACACAUGAUAAAGAUGUAUGACACACGAAACACAUACAAAAUACAUAUGAAACACAUGAAACACAAACCUACCCACACCAUAUUCUUCAAUCAUUCUCUAUAUAAGCAUAGGUUGAAUACCUAACCAUCACAUAACAUAUUCACCAAUCAUCCAUCUUUCAUAGUGUUUAUGUUUUCUCAAAAUCAUCCAACUUUCAUAGUGUUUUUAUUUCCUCGAAUUAUCAAUGUGUUAUAGAAAAAAGCGUAGCCUGACAUUGCAAAUGGCAAGUAAACAUUGCAGUUAAGGAAGAAGAAAUCAACAAUGAAGAAAUCGAAUUUGCAAACUCACUUAUGCAAAAUAGGCAACAUGCCAAAUCUAGCUUUCAUGGUUCUGUCACAAUUCGUUCAUUUGUGCAGCGUGACAGGGAAAAGUGCCAUGACCGGAUGAUAAAAGACUAUUUCAUUGAAUGUCUGAGAUAUCAUUCUCAUGAUUUUUGGAGGUGGUAUCGGAUGAGGAGAGAGCUUUUUAAAAGUAUUUUGAAUGCAGUUGCCCACCAUGACGACUACUUUGCAAUGAAGAUAGAUGUCUUAGGCUGACAGGUCUCACUGCUAUUGGGUGUUUUGCAACAUUGACAAAUAUUGUCGAUUUGUAAAGAUCACUGCUAUUGAGAACCUCAAGCACUUCUGUAAGACAAUUGAAGUCAUAUAUGGACAAACAUACCUCUGAAAGCCAAAUCGUGAAGACUUGAAGAGGUUUCUACGUAAGGCAAACAAAAGAGACUUCUCUGGAAUGAUAGGAAGUCUCAAUUGUAUGCAUUGGGAGUGGAAGAAUUGUCAAAUUUCUUGAGCAUGCCAAUUUAAAGGUCUUCACAACAAAACAACCAUUGUGAUUGAGGUUGUGACAUCUUACGACACUUGGAUUUGACAUGCAUUCUUCGACACCUUUGGAUCAAACAAUGAUAUCAAUGUUAUUUGGUCUUCUCCCUGUUUGAAGAUGUUGUCUAUGGAUGGCAACCGGAAUGGAGGUACAAGGUAAAUGAUAAUAGAUAUGAGCUAGGUUGCUACUGAACUGAUAAUAUUUAUCUUAGUUGGUCUACCUUUUGAAAAGUUAUUCUCGUUCCGAUAGUGCAAAGAUGAAAUUGUUUUUGUGGAAAUAAGAGUCUUACAGGAAAUAUGAGAGAGCGUUCGGAUCCUACAAACUCGAUGGGUCAUUGUUGGAGGGGUUGCACGAUUCUGGAGUAUGAAAGACCUCAAUUCAAUCAUGAUGACAUGCAUAAUUUUGCAUAACAUGAUUGUUGAAGAUGAAUACGUAGAAAUUGAAGAAGAUUCUGAUGAAGAUGUGGAUGGCGACCAACCAAUAUAUGCUAAGGCUAUGGCAAGAGACGUUGAAUAUCUCGCUGCAACCACAUACAAGACCUAAGAGGAUGGGGUCACACUGAGUGAGUACAUGAGAUGUCUUGCUAGAAGGAGAUUUGUUGAGCAUAUAUGGCAUUGAGAAGGAGAACGGUGAUGAUAAAAUGUAACAAAUGAUAAUUAAUAAACUUUGUUGGUACCACACAUAUUGGGCCUCAUUACCCAGCCCAUAAUUAUGUAAAAGGAGGAGCCCUUUAUUUUAUAAAAGGGGACUCCUCAUCCCUCACAAAUCAGACUUUGGGAUACUUCCAAAACAUACAAGUCUCAAACAACUCAGAGACAACACUCUGUUCCUAGAGGGACUCCCCUUGAGCUUGUAAUCCAUACAUACAGUUACAGAGAAAUACAAGCAACAUCAGUGUGGACGUAGCCCAAACAUUGGGGUGAACCACAAUACAUCUUUGUGUUCUUGGGCGAUUGCAUGAUUCACGGUCGGAUUUACGUUGUUCAAAGACCUUCCGUUUUGUGCAUCAACAAACUACAUAUAAAUUAAUGCAACAAUUACUAAUCGCAAUAAUAUUGACCAUCUUGACUUGUUGGUGGAUUUGAUGGUGAACUUGGGAUAUAUGCUUGAUAUGAAUUAUCAUCUUGAAAGAUACUCUUUGUGCCAUUCUUUCGCAUAAUUUCCUUUUGUUUAUCAUAGGAGAACUUCUUAAUAUUUGGAGUUUAUUUGUUGAGGUUUUCCCUCAUCAUAUCAAAAUCGAAUCUUUCUUGCUCCAUUUCCGAUUGCUUCUCAAAGGCCAAUCACAUUUGCAUCACUUCCUCCUCUCGAGAGUCUUGGCGUCUAGACAAUUUUGCAAACCGGAAGAAAUCGUUGCACCAAUUGGAUAUUGCAUCUUCCCUUUUCUCUUUGCUUAUUUUUGCUUAUUUCUUCCCGGAGGCCUUGGAAAAGAAGAAGUUGGGAUCCUUCAUUACCAACAUUUGUGCUUGCGUCUUCACUAGCAAAUAAUUUUUCUCGUUGUUGAUCCGCAUGGGUUCCUUAUCUCGGACAAUCCUUGAGGAUGUCCCAAGCAUGAUUCACCACUUCUACGGUGCUCCUUCCACUAGCCAUGUCAACCACAACUCUCUCAAAGCUUCCCUUCCAUAAAGUGCAAUUUUUGUUGAUAACCUUCCACCAAUAGUAAACACUCCCAACUUCCCCUUGAUUGGUAUUGGAGUUUUCAUUGAGCUUAUCAACAAUUUUAUCCCACAAAUCCUUUUUAAUUUGAUUCGUGUUAACGGCAUCAUCUUCGCUAAUACAAACUCAUGUCAAGCACAAAGCAACUUCUUCCUCAUUUUACCAAUUACGACCUCCAAUAUGAUCUUUUGUCAUCUUGAAAAUUUUGGAAAUGAUUUCAGAUGAUUGUAGAAAGAAAAAUUGGAAGAAUUGUAGGAGAAAAGUAAAUUUUGUGUGGAUGUUUAAACAAAUACGUAAGUAUUUAUAAAGUUUUUGGAUAAAUUUUGACUCAAAGAAUUUUUUUUUAAUUAUUUUAGCUGUUAGAUUCAAAUUUGAACCAUUGCAGUUUUUUAUUGUUGAAUUUGAUCAUAUUAAAUCUCAACUAUUGAAAUCAAUAAAUUUAUAAAUAUAAAACUAAAAAAUAAAAUAAAAUUUGAACUUGGACGGUUGUAUCAACCAACAAUCCAAUGAAUCAUUGUUGUUGGAUGAAAGAAAGAGUCGUUGGACUCAGCUGGGCACGCGUUUCGUGCGUGCGGCACGUCUCGGUUUACGCGGUUGGCCAAUUUAGGACGCGUCCACGCGCAUAUGUGAGACCCUCCAAGGGUUGGAAUGAAAAUAAAGAGGGGAAAUACAGGCUAAAUUUUGAGAUUUACCCCCAAAGAUUAGAGGGAGUGCAAUUAAGCUCUCUAUGCUGUUGUCGCCUUUCGAAACUUGCCUACACAAUUUAAUAGGAUAAGAAGAAAUACUUUCUGAGAAAAAUACAAUUGUGGUCGCCACCAUCUACCUGCAACAUGGUUGUUGGAUUAUCUCUUUCGCUCUCGCCACGAAGCUUCCCAGACAUGGUGAUGCAGUUUCCUGGUUAAUUUCCAAGUCUCCCUCCACACUCAAUCAGCUAUUGCUAAAGUCAACGCGCUCCAACUCCGAAAUUUCUAUCGAGCUUCGAAGUAAGUACUUCUAUGCCAACUCCCAGAUAGUUUGUUUAUCCUACCUUGCUUGAUCACCAACAACGUAAGAGAAUAUCCAACUCUGCAUUGCUUGUUUUCUGAAUCGCUUUAUUUUGGGUUCCAAGUUUCUAAUCUGUUAUUGUUUUGGGAAAGUGGCUCAAAUGGUCCGAAAUCAAAUCUCAAAUAUCGAAGACAUACUGAAAAACUGAUCAUUUCAGCAGCCAAUUUCCCUGUUAUUUUCUGUUGUCGUAAAUUUUAGAUUGAAACUUUUGUAAGUUUUUCUGAUUUUGGUGUUGGUUUUUGUUGUUAAGAAUCAAGGAAUGGGUGGUCUCGGGCUAGCAUUCAGUGUGACUGUAUGAUGUCCUCAAGGAGCUGAUCACCAAGAAUGUAAUGUUUACGCCCCUCCUCAAACGAAUCCAAUCCAAGUUACACCUUUUGACCCCAGUGUUGAAAAAUAUAGAAGAAUCCAACAAGAAAUUGGAUCUUCCGGUUGAGGAGCUGGAAAAGUUAAAAGUACAUUUGGAGGAGGGCAUACAGCUCCUUCCGAAGUGCGAAAAGACUCCAUGGUGGAGCGGAGCCAAAAGGUACAAAUACCACAACAAGCUGAUUGAAUGGGAUGAAUAUCCUCAACAACAUUUGGAAAUACUAAAAGUUCAGGGAAUAAGGGAUGUGAAGGACAUUGCAGUUACGGUGAAGAUUAUAGAGGAGGCGGUCGGAAGAAUUGAAUUGAAUCAGGUGAUCCCAAAACAACUCGAUUGUGAAGCCUUCUGCACAACAAGGAAUACAUAAAUACAAUUAGUUGGAAAAUAAGAUUUUGACACUCACCACUUCUACGACGCUCCUACCACUAGCCAUGUCAAUCACAACUCUCCCCACGCAUCCCUUCUAUAAAGUCCAUGCUUUGUUGAUAACCUUCCAUAGAUUGUAAACACUACCAACUUCUUUUCGGUUGGUAUUGGAGUUUUCAUUGAACUUAUUAACGACCUUAACCCACAAAACCUUUUCAAUUUGAUUCGCGUCAACGACACUAUCUUCGCUAAUACAAAUCCAUGGCAAAGCACAAAGUAACUUCUUCCUCAUUUUACCAAUUACGACUUCUAAUAUGAACUUUUACCGUCUUGAAAAAUUUGGAAAUUGGAAGAAAUGAUUUAGAAGGAUGGUAAAAAGAAAAACAGGAAGAAUUGUAGGAGAAAAGUGAAUUUUGUGUAGAUGUUUAAAUAAAUACAUAGGUAUUUAUAGAAUUUUUAGAUGAAUUUUGAUUUAAAGAUUUUUUUUUAAAAUUAUUUUAAUCUUUGAAUUUAAAUUUGUACCGUUUAGUUUUUUUUAACUUUAGAUUUGAUUAUAUUAAAUCUCAGCCGUUGAAAUCAAUGAUUUAUAAAUAUAAAAUAAAAAAAUAAAAUAAAAUUUGAUCUUGAAUCGUUGGAUCAACCAUCAAUCCAAUGAAUCACUGGCGUUGGAUGAAAGAAUGAGUAAUUGGGGUCAGUUGGGUGGCUGACGGACCCUUGUCCGCAGGAUCCUCCCGACUUGCACGCGUUCCGUGCGCGCGUGCGCGCGUUCCAAUUCACGGCUUGUCCACGCGCAUAUCCGUGUGGUGGCCGACCGUAAGUGCAAUUAGCUGCAAGUAGGAGGAAUUGUUAAAUAUUAGUCAUAUAUUGCUCAUUGGCUCUCUAUGCUGUUGUCGCCUUUCGAAACUUGCCUUCACAAUUUAAUACGAUAAGAAGCAAUACUUUCUGAGAAAGAUACAAUUCUGGUCGCCAUCUGCCUGCAAUAUGGUUGUUGGAUUAUCUCUUUCGCUCUCGCCACGAAGUUUCCCAGGCAUGGUGAUGCAGUUUCCUGGUUAAUUUCCAAGUCUCCCUCCACACUCAAUCGGCUAUUGCUAAAGUCAACGCGCUCCAACUCCGAAAUUUCUAUCGAGCUUCGAAGUAAGUAUUUCUAUGCCAACUCCCAGAUAGUUUGUUUAUCCUAUCUUGCUUGAUCACCAACAACGUAAGAGAAUAUCCAACUCUGUAUUGCUUGUUUUCUGAAUCGCUUUAUUUUGGGUUCCAAGUUUCUAAUCUGUUGUUGUUUUGGGAAAGUGGCUCAAAUGGUCCGAAAUCAAAUCUCAAAUAUCGAAGACAUACUGAAAAACUGAUCAUUUCAUCAGCCGAUUUCCCUGUUAUUUUCUGUUGUCGUAAAUUUUAGGUUGAAACUUUUGUAAGUUUUUCUGAUUUUGGUGUAGGUUUUUGUUGUUAAGAAUCAAGGAAUGAGUGGAGCAGGCAGCCUUUUCGGAGGGGCUGGUCUCGGAACACUAGUCAAUGCGCUGUACGAUGUCCUCAAGGAGCUGAUCACCAAGAAUGUAAUGUUUAAGCCCCUACUCAAAAACAUCAAAUUCAGGUUAGACUCUUUGGAACCAUUGUUGAAAGAUAUAGAAAGAUCCAACAAGAAAUUGGACCUGUCGGAUAAGGAACUGAGAAACUUGAAACUACAUUUGGAGGAGGGCAUACAUCUCGUCCAAAAGUGCAAAAAGAUUCGAUGGUGGAGCGUAUUAGUAUACAAAAGGUACAAGUACGCCAACAAGCUGAUUGAAUGGGAUGCAUCUCUUCAACGACUUUUGGACAUGCUAAAAGUUCAGGGAAUAAGGGAUGUGAAGGACAACGCGGUUACGGUGAAGAAUGUAGAGGAGGCGGUCAUCAGAAUUGAAUCGAAUAUGGUGAUACCAAAACAACCCGACAGUGAAGCUUGGUGUGCCGUACCUCAACUUCCGCCGCUCGUGGUUGGAUUGGAUUUUCCUCUAAAGGAACUGAAGAGGAAGCUUCUAAAGGACAAAAAUGUGUCAAUGGUUGUGCUGACUGCUCCUGGAGGAUGUGGGAAAACCACUUUGGCUACAAAGUUUUGUCAAGACAAGGAUAUCAAAGGUAUCAUAUAUUAUAAGUUAGCACUCUGAAUUGUUUAUGUUUUUUUACUUUGUACAACUAUGGCAGAUUUAAAUGACGCCUCAAUGACUGAUUUAUUAUGUUUUCUCUGGAUAGAUGCAUUCAAGGAUAACAUCUUCUUUGUCACGGUUUCAAAAAAGCCUAAAUUAGAAAAUAUUGUUCAAGAUCUUUAUAUCAACGCAAGGGUUUCCAAGCACCUACUUUCCAAAACGAAGUUAGUACAGCGACGUGGCUGCAACGUUUUCUGAAGGAAGAAGGGCAGAAUCCUUUACUGAUUGUCCUGGAUGAUGUUUGGCCUGGAUCAGAAUCCCUUGUGGAGAAGUUUGAUCAAUUCAAAACGGAAAAUUACAAGUUUUUGGUGACAUCUAGGUCUGAAUUUCGGGGAUAUGGUUCCCCUUAUUAUUUGCAAUCAUUGGAUCAUGACAAUGCGAUGAAACUUUUUCAUCAUUCAGCAUCCCUUGGAGAUAAGAGCUCUCAUAUUCCAAAAGAUCUUCCAGAAAAG
rnacentral:lncRNA from 1 species